UUUUUUUUUGUUUCCGAGAGGCACGGCCGUGACUCUGUGAAAGCACAACCAUGCCUCUCGCGAAAGCAAAACCNNNNNNNNNNNNNNNNNNNNNNNNNNNNNNNNNNNNNNNNNNNNNNNNNNNNNNNNNNNNNNNNNNNNNNNNNNNNNNNNNNNNNNNNNNNNNNNNNNNNNNNNNNNNNNNNNNNNNNNNNNNNNNNNNNNNNNNNNNNNNNNNNNNNNNNNNNNNNNNNNNNNNNNNNNNNNNNNNNNNAAAAUAAUAAACGCGUUUUAUUUUCCGUUUCCGAGAGGCAGGCCGUGACUCUCGCUAAAGCACAACCCUGCCUCUCGCGGAAGAAAAACCAUGACUUUCACGAAAAGAAAAAAAGAAAAUAGAUUUUUUUCGCGAAAAAAACAUUAAUUUUUUUUUUAUCAAAAAGCUAAAAAAGACCCGGGAAAAAUCAAAACGUCGAAAAAAAAGAAAAAAAACUGUUUAAAAAGCCAAAAACGCGUGCGGAAAAAUAAAAAAUAAAAUUCAAAAGAAGCGUCCAGAACGUGACACGUGACGAAUGACUGAGAGUGCGCUAAAUGACACUGAUCGUUGGGAAGCUCCGUUAACUAGUUGCCCCCUAAUUAUGGUGACUGUUAGAAUUUCUCAAUCGUUGGCAGGGGCCAGGCCCCUGCUUGCCCGCCAGAGCUAUAUCCAUCUGACGCGAGGUGGAAGCUAAACUCGCUGAAGGGUGCGUGAAUAUGGGCCGGCCCAUCAGUGUAGGUUCGUUGGUUAUAGGUUUGCUCUGCCUCGUUUUCUCCGGGGCUUUUUGUUCUUCUUUUUCUUCCGUUUUCCUUUCAGUUUCUUUUGUUUUCUCUCCACUUUUCUUUGGUUUCUAUUUUUUCUUAGUCUUAACUGUGUAUUAUUUAUUUUUUACUGGUUUUCUUUGUUUUUCAGUGGUUUCUUUCAUUUAUCUUUCUUUCUUCGUACAACUUUACUUUCUUUGUUUCUUUCUUCAUUUUUCUUUGUUUUCUUCGUUUUCAUUUUUGUUGCUUUGUCGGUUUUUAUUGGUUUUUUUUUGGAACACAUGCCUACUCUUCUUCGGUACACAAUAUACAUUUUUAGUGUGCAUGUGAAACUUUCUUUAUACACGUUGAACAUUUUUUUCAAAUACACAAUGUUUACUUUCCUUUUAAUAUAUGUCUUGGACACUUUUUUUAAUACAUGGCCAAUACUUUUUCAAAUACACAAGUCUACAGUUUUCAUAUAUACCAAGUACAAUUUUUAAUACAUGUUUAAUAUUUUUCAAAUACAUGAUCAAUAUUUAUUCAAAUAUAUGUUUUGAUGCCUAUUUUAUUUUUCGUGCACAUUAUACAUUUUUUAUGCAUAUAAACAAUUCUUAUAUAUGUUUUAACAUUUAUCAAAUACAUUAUUAAUAUCUUUUCAAAACAUAAUUUUUGACAUUUGUCUGACACACCAGGAACAAUUUUAUAUACACAUUUAAAAAAAUCAACUGCAUGACUAAAUUUUUGAAAAUAUCUAUUUUAUUUUUUAUAUCUACCUGUUUCCAUACACAGUACAUUUUUUUAUACAUCAGCAAUAAUUCUUCUGUAUAUGUUUUUUCAUUCCAUGGUUAACUUUUUAAAAACAUAUAUUUUAUGUCAACUUUCCUUCACAGACAUUGUACAUUUUUCGUAUACGUUAAAAAAUGUUUAACCUUUUUCAAAAUGCAUGAUUAACAUUUUUCUGAAAUUUGACAUAAAGUGAUUUCUGUAUUACACAUCUAAGUAUUGCACACCUAAGUCAUACGUAGUUGAUUUUAUAUGAAGAUUUACGCAAGCAUUUUCUUUUGUCUUUUUUGUUUUUCUUUUUAAUUUGUUUGAGUCAUCUAGAUGUGCUCUAACAAACCUUCUUUAUAAGGGUGUAUUUAUAAGGACCCGUGAUACUCAAUACGUACUAGCUUUUGGCGUUUCCCAAAUAAAUAAAGUACCCACUUUGCUCUAUAAUUAAGAUUUUUUUUCAAAACUAUGAUAUAUUUUAUAGCAUUUUCGGAAACUAUAGCAUGAUUUUCAUAAAAAUCAAAAGUAGUAGCCCGUCGGCUCUUGGCCGAAAUAGGACUUUUCGGCCAUAGUUAGGCCGAAGUAGAGUUUUCGGCCCUCUCUUGGUCGAAGUGGUGGGGUCCUGGCCGAAAAGGCACUUUUCAGUCAAGUAUAGGCCGAAAUAGACUUUUUGGUCAAGCCUAGGCCGAAAAGUACUUUUUGGUCUCGUGUAGGCCGAAGUUGCAUGGCUCAUACAUUAGGCUGAAAUGUAUUUUCUCGCCACCCGUUUCCCGCCAACCCCUUCCCGCCAUAUGUUCCCGCCACCCGUUUCCCGCCAACCCCUUCCCGCCAACCCUUUCCCGCCAUACCGCAAUUAUUCUUUCCCGCCAUUUUCUCCUCUGUAUCUAUAAAACCCCCUUCCGGUGGAGGUGGAUAAGCAUUCCAGUGUAGUGUAGUCGAGAUGUCCCAUUAUCCAUUCGAUCGUAGUUUUCACCCUGAGAUGAGCAGCACUCUGCUGAGUCUAGCUACCGAUUUCAGGAUGGACAAUAGGAUAGUUCCAUGGGACGAACUCACCGGUAGUGACACCAUAAUGAAUGAGUUGGCUCACGAAUUACGUAGGUCUGGGUGGCCUGAAAGGACCUAUGAGGAGGUACGUAAAGAACUUCUUAGGUUGCAUGAAAGGUGGAAGAAGGUGGUGGAGCCGAAGAGUGAAACUUUUAGAAGAACUGCAGAAAAGCAUCCAUUUUUAUGGACUGAGGAGAGCGAGGACGACGAUGAUAUCUUCAUGCCGCCGCUUCCGGGUUCUGCAUCGUCGAAGGGCAAGAGUUCUGCAUCGUCCAAAGGCAAGAGUUCUGCAUCCUCGAAGGGCAAGAGUUCUGCAUCGACCAAGGGCAAGAGUUCUACAUCGACGAAGGGCAAGAGGACUGCAACAUCGAAGGGCAAGAGGGCUGCAUCAACGGAGGAUGACGAUGAUGACUUCAUGUAGUAUGUAAGAUGUAUUCCCGUUGUACCAUUUCAUUCAUGUGUAUUUGUAUUAUUAGUUUGUAUUGUAUUAUUGUAGGGCAUUAUGUUCUAUCUGAAUUUCAUUUUGUAGUAUGUAAGAUUAAUUGCACAAGUUCAGCUACACCGUUUAAUUCAGAUGUACUUGUAUCUUAAUUAUCGGUUGCAGUCUAUUUGGAAAUGUAACUGGAAUAAGAAUGUGAAUUAAUAGUAAUAUGUCUCUCGCAUACAUAAAACAAUAUAUGUCUCAUGAUCACAUAGAAGCAAGUGCGAUAGUAACACAUACAUGAAGCAUGUCUCAUACAUAAAUACUGACACACAGCUGUGAAUAGUCUGAAACUAACAUAGAUAAUGAGUCAUACAUAGAUAGAUAAGCAUAUCACUGCGGGGGACGACGACGAGUCUGGGUCUUCCUCGGGCGAGGACCGGAAGGCGAUAAGCGCUGAGGCGAUGGACGAGGCUCGCGAUAACCACGACCAUAGUUAACAUCAUCUGUCAUGGUCUGUGUCUCCUGCGUCGGUGGUGGUGGUGGAGUGUGAAACACUGUCUGCGAGAAGCCAUAAAUGUUUGUAGCUUGGUCAUCAUCCUCGCGGUCGCCCUCAAAGUACGAAGCACCACCACUAAGGAUCGGUGACUGCUCUGAAUGUAUGAACGGUUGCGACUGGUUGCCGCCUGCGGUAAAGUAAAACAUGUAAAAUUGAUACAAAUGCAUGAACGAAGCACCACCAGUAAGCAUCAGUGACUGCUGAGAAUGCAAGAACGAUUACUACACUGUUCAAAAGAAUGUAGUGAGUAGUGAUGAAGCUAUGUACCUAGGGUAGGGGCAUGGACCUGUCCAAACUGACCUACCCAAGGACAUCUCCAGAAGAAAUCAAUUUUCAAUCGACUUGGAGGUGUUCCACUCGACAGACUCGAAGAUACUCGACCAAGAAGCAACCACUCGACCAAGACCAAGCCACUUGACGGUUAGGAGGACUAAAGGCACUCCGCAUGCUAACGGUCGGUUAUUAAGUAGCUUUUAUGGUCAUCAUAGCACUUUAUUACUAGUGUUACCAGUAACACCCUGCCUUAAUGUACAUUGAACCAUUUGUAAUGUGGGCUGGCUGGGGUCCUGGCGCACUCUAUAUAAGCCGCCCCCUCCUCCGAGACAAGGGUUCGCACCCCUGUAAUUCAUACACGCAUAAUCCAGUCGACCGCCUCCGGGCUCCGAGACGUAGGGCUAUUACUUCCUCCGAGAAGGGCCUGAACUCGUAAACCUUGCGUGCUUACAACUUCUCCAUAGCUAAGAUCUUGCCUCUCCAUACUUACCCCCUACACUACUGUGAGACUCAGAACCACGACAGUUGGCGCUCACCGUGGGCCGGGUGUUUUAGCGUUUUGUUGGAGGAGUUGCAAUCUUUUCCGACCCGAAUCAUCAUGGUUUUCGGUGGAGUUUUGGUGGAGGGCCGCGAGAUCCGUCUCGGCGCGCUCACGUUCAUCGCCGACGACUCUGCUUGGCUUCAGGAGGCUCCGCUCGACGUGGACGCACUCCCUGUCCGCGGGGCAACGCACUUUAGCGCGUGCGUCCGCGGCGUUCUCCUGCGACAACCAUCGACCCCCUACCGGUCGGCUCCUGUGUUGUCCUCCUUCCCUGUUUCCCGCCGGCGCAAGCGCUCCGGUCGGUCGAGACUUCAGCGGUGGGUGAAACACGCGGUAGCACGCCAGUCGGCCACCCCUCAAGUCGCGGUGAUCGAGCCCGACGAAUCCCUCUACGGCGUGUUCGACCUAUUGACUGGCUCCGCAGAGACCGCAUCAGAGGGCGACAACAGCGAUCCGGCGGUGGAGGUUCUGAUGGUCGAUGGACCGCCCAGUCCUCCCGGUUUUCCCCGCACCGACGGAGGCGCGGGUGGAGGCGACCCAUCGCGUCCCCAUGAGGAAUAUCUUCAUAAGCCUCUCACGUCGCUGCAGAGAGAAGAACUUCGCCGCCGGAACAUGGAUGCAUUGCACACUCCUAUCGUUGGAGAAACCCCCGAGGCUCGUGCCUUGGAAGACGCGUGCCUGGCAAACUUGGCCGAGCGCACUCGACUGGAGAACCUCCAGCGAGCACUCGACGAGCGUGCGCGACAACGGGUUCCCGAAUCCAGUCGACGUCAGCUCUUCCCGCCCCCGCAGGUAUAUCGAACUCCGAUUCAGAAUUUAGCAGCUGCAGCCCGUAUAGCAGAGUCGAUUCAGCCUUCCCAGUCGGAGGCUGGCAGAGGCUUGCUGCAGAUCAGAGCGUUACUCCGGGUAGCGGGAGACCAGAAUUCCGCUGUUUCUUAGUCGCGGAACAGGAUUCACAGCAGAUCCGUUGCCGCGGACACAGUCCAGUCGGCUCAUAGCCCAAGAUCGCCCCCGAGGCGUGAAGGACAUGGGGACCGGCAUAAUCAGUAUGGGAACCGUGAGCAAUAUGAUCACCGAUUCGAUUGUGAUGAUCGACGUCGAGUGCCCACCCCUCCUCGAGGAGCGGGUCGUAUGCGCCUCGACAACAGGAUGACAGGCGCCCUCGUAGUGUUGGGCGAAGGAUUCCAGUCGACUCCAGGGAGCCAGGCUUUGAUGCGAGACCCAUUCUCGUUCAAGGUUUGGUCGACAGGAACAGAGCUCACCGGGAAGGUCACGACAGAGAUGCUCCUGCCAGCAGCAGAGCACAUGUUUCGGGGCCAGAGUGCUUUAGUAGAGCCAUCAGGGCCGCUGUGAUUCCUCCCAACUUCAGGUUGGCGACUGGAGUCAGCAAGUUCGCUGGCGAGUCCAAGCCAUGUUUCGGGGCCAGAGUGCUUUAGUAGAGCCAUCAGGGCCGCUAUGAUUCCUCCCAACUUCAGGUUGGCGACUGGAGUCAGCAAGUUCACUAGCGAGUCCAAGCCCGAUACUUGGCUUGAAGACUACCGAGUGGCCGUCCAGAUUGGCGGCGGCAAUGAUGAAGUGGCCAUGAAACACCUGCCUCUCAUGUUGGAGGGCUCGGCCAGAGCAUGGCUGAACCAGUUAGCACCCAGCAGCAUUUACACUUGGGAAGAUCUCGCCCGAGUGUUUGUCACCACAUUUGAAGGAACAUGCAAGAGGCCGGCAGGGCUGACGAAACUGCGGUCUUGCGUGCAAAAGCCGAAUGAAACCUUGAGGGAUUACAUUCAGAGAUGGAUCACAUUGCAUCACACGGUAGAGAAUGUGCCUGACCACCAAGCAGUCUGUGCCUUCAAAGAAGGCGUCAAGUACAGAGAACUGAAUCUGAAAUUCGGUCGGACCGGAGAUAUGUCUCUGAACCGGAUGAUGGAGAUUGCCACCAAGUACGCUAAUGGUGAAGAUGAGGAUCGACUCAGGAGUGGCAAGCUCAAAUCAGUCGCCCAAGAAACCGGAGGAAAUCCCAAUCGGAAAUAGAAGCAGAAAGCCGAGCCUACUGCUCCUGGGGAAGCCUUAGCUGUAACCCAAGGAAAGUUUAAAGGGAAACCUAAAGGACCUUGGAACCCCAAGAAAGUUAAAGACCAGGACGGAAAUGAUGUGUUGGAUUAGCCAUGUCUCGUCCACACCAAGAAAGAUGAAGAGGGUAAUUUCAUUUACCCGAAACAUACCACUCGACAGUGUCGACUCUUGAUCCAGCAGUUCCAGGGCAAGCAGCCCAAAUAUAAGGAAAAGGAGUCGGACAAAAUUGAGGACAAGGAAGAUAGUGACGACGGAUACCCUCAGGUCAAUUCCACUCUGAUGAUUUUUGCUGAUGUUGAAAGCAAAACUCGACUGAAAGUUAUCAACCGAGAGGUGAAUAUGGUCGCUCCGGCGACACCCAGUUAUCUGAAGUGGUCUCAGACUGCCAUAACAUUCGACCGGUCCGAUCACCCAACGCACAUUGCCACCCCUGGGAGGCAAGCUUUGGUGGUCGACCCAGUUAUUGAAGGCACUCGACUGACCAAAGUCCUGAUGGAUGGUGGCAGUGGUUUGAACAUAUUAUAUGCUGAUACGUUGAAAGGGAUGGGCAUUCCGAUGUCCAGACUCAGUGCCAGCAACAUGAGUUUCCAUGGAGUCAUUCCUGGGAAGAAGGCUGAAUCACUCGGCCAGAUUGCUCUUGAUGUGGUUUUCGGUGAUUCCAAGAAUUACCGCAAAGAAAAGUUGACAUUUGAAGUUGUAGACUUCCAGAGUGCCUACCACGCUAUUUUGGGCAGGCCGACUUAUGCACACUUCAUGGCCCGACCAUGUUAUGUGUAUCUCAAAUUGAAGAUGCCUGGCCCCAAAGGUGUGAUCACUAUUACGGGAAAUCGGAAGAAAGCGGAAGAAUGUUUUCAGAAAGGUUCGAAGAUCGCCGAUGCUCAGAUGGCAACAGUAGAGUUGAAGGAAUACCAGAAGACUGCAGACUCGAGUGAUUUGUUGCGAGCCAAGAAGCCCGCUACAGAAUCAACUUUUCAGUCAACUGGCGAUAUGAAGACAGCUCACAUCCACCCGACCGACCCCAGCGCUGCUCCAACUCAUAUCUCGACAACACUCGACUCCAAAUAGGAAGAAGCGCUCAUCCAGUUCCUCCGUGAGAACUGGAACAUUUUUGCAUGGAAGCCUUCUGACAUGCCGGGUGUUCCCAGGGAGCUGGCUGAGCACCGCCUAAGAGUUGACUCAAAAGUAAAACCUGUCAAGGAACAUCACCGAUGGUCCGCUGUCCAGAAGAGAAAGGCCAUUGGCGAGGAGGUGGCUCGGCUCUUAGCAGCGGAGUUCAUCCGAGAAAUCUACCACUCCGAGUGGCUCGCCAACAUUGUUAUGGUCCCCAAGAAGGACAAGUCACUUCGUAUGUGCAUUGACUUUAAACAUAUCAAUCGGGCCUGCCCGAAAGAUCAUUUUCCUCUCCCCCGCAUCGAUCAGAUAGUCGACUCGACUGCGGGAUGUGAGCGACUGUCUUUUUUAGACGCCUAUUCCGGGUACCAUCAGAUCCGUCUAUAUGGACCUCACGAGAUCAAAACAGCCUUCAUCACUCCAUUCGGGUGCUUCUAUUAUGUUACCAUGCCAUUCGGCCUCAAGAAUGCCGGAGCCACAUUCAUGAGGAUGAUUCAGAAGUGUUUGCUCACCCAAAUCAGUCGGAAUGUGGAGGCGUACAUGGAUGAUAUUGUGGUCAAGUCACGGAAGGGUUCCGACCUGCUGACUGACCUUGCUGAAACCUUUGCCAACCUCAGGAGGUAUGAUAUAAAGCUUAAUCCAUCAAAGUGCACAUUCGGAGUUCCUGGCGGAAAAUUACUCGGUUUUCUCGUUUCCGAACGGGGAAUCGACGCCAAUCCAGAAAAAGUUGGUACUAUACUCCGAAUGAAAAGUUCUGUGCGAGUGCACGAUGUCCAGAAGCUUACUGGUUGCUUGGCUGCCCUAAGUCGAUUCAUAUCUCGUCACGGUGAAAAGGCAUUGCCUCUUUACCGAUUGAUGAAGAAGUCCGACAAGUUCGAGUGGACUCCUGAAGCUAAUGCAGCGUUUGCAGAGCUCAAAGCUCUGCUCUCCACCUAGUCGGUGCUUGCUGCCCCAAUCAGCAAGGAGCCUUUGCUGCUUUACAUUGCAACCACAGGACAAGUCGUCAGUACGGUACUUAUGGUCGAGCGGGAAGAAGAAGGAAAAACCUUCAAAGUUCAGCGCCUAGUAUAUUAUAUUUCUGAAGUCUUGACCCCAUCGAAGCAAAGAUAUCCUCAUUAUCAAAAGCUUGUAUAUGGGAUUUAUAUGACCACAAAGAAAGUUGCUCACUACUUCUCUGAUCAUUCCAUUACAGCCGUCAGCGACGCUCCAUUGUCAGAGAUCCUGCAUAACAGGGAUGCAACUGGUCGAGUGGCAAAAUGGGCGAUUGAACUCCUUCCUCUAGAUAUCAAGUUUGAGGCAAAGAAAGCUAUCAAGUCCCAGGCAAUCGCAGAUUUCGUCACCGAGUGGAUUGAACAGCAACUGCCGACUCAGGUUCACUCGGAGCAUUGGACCAUGUUCUUCGACGGCUCCAAGAUGCUGAAUGGUUCCGGUGCCAGAGUGGUGUUGGUCUCCCCCAGAGGAGAUAAACCCAGAUAUGUUCUUCAAAUCCACUUUGAUUCCUCCAAUAACGAGGAAGAAUACGAAGCACUUUUAUAUGGGUUGCGCAUGACCAUUUCACUCGGUGUCCGUCGCCUCAUGGUCUAUGGCGACUCAGAUUUGGUGGUUAAUCAGGUGAUGAAGGAAUGGGACAUCAGAAGUCCAGCCAUGACUGGUUAUUGCAAUGCAGUGAGAAAGCUGGAGAAGAAAUUCGAGGGGUUAGAGCUUCAUCACAUACCCCGACUGAAAAAUCAAGCAGCUGAUGAUCUGGCAAAAAUAGGUUCCUAAAGAGAAGCCAUUCCCAGCAAUGUGUUUUUGGAACACAUCCACACACCAUCAGUUCAGGAGGAUCCCUUCACUGAAGAGGCCCCGCAGCCAAAAAGUGCCACGGAUCCGACUGAAGUUGAAAUUCCAGCUGUGGUCGACCUGAUCAUGGAAGACUUGUUCAUCACUCCCGUCUGGACAGUACCGUACAUCGCAUACAUCCUAAGGAAAGAACUCCCAGAGGACGAAGAAGAGGCUCGACAGAUCGUCCGCCGAUCCAAGGCCUUUACAGUCAUAAAGGGACAGUUAUAUAGAGAAAGCGCGACUGGGGUCAGCCAGAAGUGUAUUACACCAGAAGAAGGUCAGAUGAUCCUUGAUGAUAUCCACUCGGGGACCUGUGGUCAUCAUGCGUCCUCUCGGACCAUUGUGGCUAAAGCAUACCGAGCGGGAUUCUACUGGCCAAGAGCCAAUGAAAUGGCAAAAGAGAUAGUCGACAAAUGUGAAGGAUGUCAGUAUUACUCCAAUAUGUCGCACAAGCCCGCGUCAGCCCUGAAAACCAUUCCACUCAUCUGGCCCUUUGCUGUUUGGGGGCUGGACAUGGUUGGACCACUGAGAACGGGUAGGAGCGGCUUCACUCAUGUACUGGUAGCAGUCGACAAGUUCACCAAAUGGAUUUAAGCUAAGCCUAUCAAGAAUCUUGAUGCUUGCACUGCUAUCAGUUUCAUCAGAGAGUUGAUAUUCAGAUAUGGAGUUCCGCACAACAUCAUCACUAACAAUGGGUCAAACUUCGAUUCUGACAAAUUCAGGGCCUUUUGCGUCUCUUAGGGCACUCGGGUCGACUAUGCUUCGGUCGCUCACCCCCAGUUGAAUGGGCAAGCAGAAAGGGCAAACGGCCUAAUUCUCAAAGGACUGAAACCCCGAUUGAUGCGCGAUCUCAAGCACGCAGCAGGUGCAUGGGUCGACGAGCUUCCAUCAGUCCUUUGGGGAUUGAGGACAACCCCGAACCGAUCGACUGGAAGAACCCCAUUCUUUCUGGUCUACGGAGCCGAGGCAGUCUUGCCGAGUGACCUGCUUCACAACGCUCCCCGAGUCGAGCUCUACUCUGAAGAUGAAGCAGAACAAGCCCGGCAGGACGUAGUCGACCUCCUAGAAGAAGAAAGAGAAAUGGCCAUGAUCCGAUCGACCAUCUAUUAGCAAGACUUGCGUCGAUUCCAUGCCAGAAACGUGAAGAGUCGAGCCUUCCAAGAAGGAGACUUAGUCCUCCAAGUGGAUCAGCAGAAACCACACAAACUCGCUCCUACUUGGGAAGGCCCCUUCAUAGUCACCAGAGUCCUCCACAAUGGAGCAUACCACCUCUACAAUGUCGAUCGCCAGAUUGAUGAGCCGCGAGCCUGGAAUGUGGAGCUCCUCCGCCCCUUUUAUACUUGAAUUCUCACUCGGAUGAGAUGUAAUAAGAAAAAACUCCUGUAGUUUAUUUAUCAAAGACAAGAGCGUUAUAAUUUUCCCAGUGAUUAUUAUUGUUUUUGUUUACAUGAGAAAUCCCCCAGUGGGUGGCUUAGCUGCGAAUCCGCUUUGCCUAAGUUUAUAAAAAUAAUUUCCUACCGAGUGGCGAGCCAGCCUCCCACUCGGGGGCUUAGCUGCGAAUCCGUUUCGCCUAAGUAUUUAAAAAAUCCUACUGAGUGGAGAGCAACCCUCCCACUUGGGGGCUUAGCUGCAGUCCAGUACUCGCCUAAGAUUCUCUCACUUGGAGACUUAGCUGCAGUCCGGCACUCGCCUAAGUUUGAAAAAAUCCUACCGAGUGGAGAGCAAUCCUCCCACUCAGGGGCUUAGCUGCAGUCCAGUACUCGCCUAAGUUCUCUCACUUGGAGACUUAGCUACAGUCCAGCACUCGCCUAAGUUUGAAAAAAUCCUACCGAGUGGAGAGCAAUCCUCCNNNNNNNNNNNNNNNNNNNNNNNNNNNNNNNNNNNNNNNNNNNNNNNNNNNNNNNNNNNNNNNNNNNNNNNNNNNNNNNNNNNNNNNNNNNNNNNNNNNNNNNNNNNNNNNNNNNNNNNNNNNNNNNNNNNNNNNNNNNNNNNNNNNNNNNNNNNNNNNNNNNNNNNNNNNNNNNNNNNNNNNNNNNNNNNNNNNNNNNNNNNNNNNNNNNNNNNNNNNNNNNNNNNNNNNNNNNNNNNNNNNNNNNNNNNNNNNNNNNNNNNAGCUGCAGUCCGGCACUCGCCUAAGUUUGAAAAAAUCCUACCGAGUGGAGAGCAAUCCUCCCACUCGGGGACUUAGCUGCAGUCCAGUACUCGCCUAAGUUCUCUCACUUGGAGACUUAGCUGCAGUCCAGCACUCGCCUAAGUUUGAAAAAAUCCUACCGAGUGGAGAGCAAUCCUCCCACUCGGGGGCUUAGCUGCAGUCCAGUACUCGCCUAAGUUCUCUCACUUGGAGACUUAGCUACAGUCCAGCACUCGCCUAAGUUUGAAAAAAUCCUACCGAGUGGAGAGCAAUCCUCCCGCUCGGGGGCUUAGCUUCAGUCUAGUACUCGCCUAAGUAUCUGAAAAUCCUACCGAGUGGUGAGCCAGCCUCCCACUUGGAGNNNNNNNNNNNNNNNNNNNNNNNNNNNNNNNNNNNNNNNNNNNNNNNNNNNNNNNNNNNNNNNNNCUUGGAGACUUAGCUGCAGUCCGGCACUCGCCUAAGUUUGAAAAAAUCCUACCGAGUGGAGAGCAAUCCUCCCACUCGGGGGCUUAACUGCAGUCCAGUACUCGCCUAAGUUCUCUCACUGGGAGACUUAGCUGCAGUCCGGCACUCGCCUAAGUUUGAAAAAAUACUACCGAGUGGAGAGCAAUCCUCCCACUCGGGGGCUUAGCUGCAGUCCAGUACUUGCCUAAGUUCUCUCACUUGGAGACUUAGCUGCAAUCCGGCACUCGCCUAAGUUUGAAAAAAUCCUACCGAGUGGAGAGCAAUCCUCCCACUCGGGGGCUUAGCUGCAGUCCAGUACUCGCCUAAGUAUCUGAAAAUCCUACCGAGUGGUGAGCCAGCCUCCCACUUGGAGGCUUAGCUGCAAUCCAGUACUCGCCUAAGUACGAAACACAUCUGAAUCCUCAAGGACGACGAGGUGCAGGUCGACUGCCACCUUCUCCGUGAGAGCUUCGCCACAAAUACAAUGUGCGCUCCAUCCUGCUCUGCAGUAACGAGGUGCAGGUCAACUGCCACCUUUUCCUUGAGAGCUUUGCCACAAAUACAAUGUGCACUCCGUCCCGCUCUGCAGUAACAAGAUGCAGGUCAACUACCACCUUCUCCUUCGGAGCUGCGCCACAAAUACAAAAGUUGUCUCGAAUGAAGAACGAUUCCCACUCGACGGGGGAUUCAUGAAGAUAUUUAACGAUAAACCAAGUUCAGAUAAACCCUAAAGGUUCCGGCCACAGAUCGAAGUGCUCGGGCUUUCAGCCCGAAAGAGUUUAACGGUUACAAAAACCACUCGGCAUCCCGAGGCAAAUUUAAGGUGAGGCAUAAAACUUUGUUCACUCCGCGGGAGGAGGACUAGCAGGCUCGACGAACUCGUCUAGGUCGACGCCGUCGGUGAUCCGAGUGGCUGCAGCGAUGAAAGUCUCCAUAAAAGAUCGGAAGUCAUGCUUCUGGGUGUUGGCGACCUUGAUUGCCGCUAGCUUAUCUUGACGCACCUCCUUGCAAUGGACGCGAACCAGAGACAGGGCCACAUCAGCUCCACACCGGGCAGAAGAUUUCUUCCACUCCUGCACUCGAUCAGGGAUUUCGUUAAGUCGAGUCAUCAGGGACUCGAGAUCAUUCUGGGGCGUGGUCUCUGGCCAAAGUGCUGGGUCGAUCCGCAACAUGGCGACCUUCAGUCGAGCCAAGUAGUCCACGACACCGUCGAUGCGGGAUUCCAGUCGGAGCAGAUUCAUGGUAGUUUCAUAUUUUACGGGAGAAUUGAUUGGGUCCAAACCUGGCUCAAUCCGCCCAGUCUCCUCCUCGAAGUUCUGGCAAAACUCUGCAUUCACGAUCCAAGGAUAAGUCAAUUUUCGUACACUGAGUCGACAUAAAAAAAAUCAGUCGGAACAAAAUGUGCACCUUCAAGCUUGAUGAACAACUUCUUGGCAAGGCUCCUCAGAUAGCUCUCCAGAUCGUCCCUCCUGCGAGCAAUGCUUUCCAUCUUCUCGCCCAGGAUGAGAUUUUCCUUCUUCCAGCGCGAGCACUCCUUGUUGGCGUCAUUCAGAGCAGAUUUCAGCCUGGUAUUCUCUUCUUCCAACUGGCCGACCGAAGCCAGUUUCUGUUCAGCUAGAGCGGUUCUGUCGUCAGCCUCCUUUCGAGCAGCAUCCAAAUCCUGAUCCUUCUUCUCCAGAGCUUCUCUCAGUUUUUCUAUAAAGAAAUGAUGCCUGAUUCAGAAAGAGCAGAAGGGUACUCAAGCCUAAGACAGACCAGUCGACAAAUUCGUUUUACCAGUGGCGUCAUCCUUGACCCUUUGCAGCUCUGUCUUGGCCAGCUCCAAGUCAAGGUCCAGUUGGAUCUGCUGUUUCUCCAAGUCAGCAAAGCAAGCUCCAAGAUCACAAGAUUUCUGAAAUCAAAGGGGAGAAGUUAUUUUUACAGCGAAAAACAACAAAGUCAAUAAGUACUAAGGCUACGGUCGACUGCCCGCAGUCCACCAUAGCCUCGGGGACUACACCCAGUGGGUGCACUUUGCGUGGCCCCACCGGUUCUGAUCCAACUCGACCGGCCCACCGAAGUCGAGUGCAGGGAGUAAAAAAAGAAAGAAGAGAGAAAGAACUCAGACCACAGUCGACUGCCAGCAGUCGACCGCGGUCUCGGGGACUACACCCAGUGGGUGCACUUGGCGUGCCCCCACCGGUUCUGACCCCACUCGACCAGACCGAGUGGAAGAGACAAACUAUCAGUUCGGUUUACACUCGACAAAAUACAAAGACUACAGUCGACUGCCCGUAGUCCACCGUAGUCUCGGGGACUACACCCAGUGGGUGCACUCAGUGUGCCCCCACUAAUUCAAAGUUCAAUCAACGCACCCAGUGGGUGUACUAACGCAAAGAUUUUCAGAGCAAAGAUUUUCGGAAAGAGUCUUCAAAUAUCAUAUCCUAACAGAACAAGCGGUGACCAACUAACCUGAACGUUGCUUUGGAGAGCCGAGCUGGCGUCGUAGGCAGCCUGACUGGCGUCCCGCACCAUCUUCAUCUUCUCCAUCAUGACGCCCGCCUGGCGUAUAGCUUCCCUGGCAGCAUUCACUUCGUCUUCUGGGACAUGAUGGGUCGCAAAAACUGAAGGUGGGUCGACAGGGGCCUGAGCAGUCGAUGAAGAAGGCAAGGCACUCGACAGUGGCACGGCGAAGGUAACAGAACCCCGAUUGGCGUCGCUAGUGUCCUGAACGACUGGUUCCGCCCUCGGCGUCGACUGUAGUGCCUCACUUGCAGGAGCUUGCCUAUUCUUCCUCGUCAAAGACCUCUCGGGCUCUUCAUCAUCAUCGGGGAGGUCAAUAAUGUUGGGAGCUGUGCAAAGUUCAAUUGCCAAAAUCACGUCACCCAAUGAUGCACAUUGCAGUUGAAUCGACCGAACAAAGACAGUAUGGCAGAAAUCAUACCCAGAUUAGAAGUGACCGCAUCCUCCAUCACCUCAUCAUCGUCCCUGUAAGCUGAGGUCCCGGAAGUGGCAGCGCUGACGGUUCCAAAGUUCGUCCAGUUAAAACAAGAAAAACAAACAGCGCGGAGCAUCGAGUGAAUACAAAUAGAGACACUCACGCGGAAGCGACGGGGAUGUCAAUCUUGAUCUUCGACAACGCCUUCCGAGUCUUCGGCUCUGCAACUUUGGGGUGCUUUGGCGCCUUCUCAGUCGGGGUUGGUGAAGAGAUCCGAGGACGCUUCGAAGACUGACCAGCCUGAGCAGUUGCCUUUUUGCGGGCGCUCGGUCGUUCUUGGUCAAGCUUGGAUCGCCUCUCCCUACGAGGGGGCGACUCGACUUCUUCUCCAUCGCUUGAGUCGUCGCUUCCUCCAUCCCCUUCACCGUCAGAAGUCCACUCGCCACUGUCGCCGCCACUCGCCUUGCCUUCCAGAGCUUGCUCUUGCUCUCUGUUGGGCAUUGAAUACAUUUCAAUAAUGGCCUGAAAGAAAGCAGGGAGAACAAAGUCAGUCAACGCAGUAUAGGCAGCUACGCGAGUGAAUUCAGAUUACAAGCAAAAACUCAGAAUCAGACCUUCUCUAGUGCAUGAGACUGGUCGAAUGGGGGAACUCUCCUGGCUCCCCUGGGGUUAUCCUUGUUUCCGGUAAUGCCAGACAGCCACUUCUCCAGUGUGUCAUCAUCGACCUCCUCCGGGUGAAUCCGAGUGGAGUCUUCAAGACCCGAAUACAUCCACAUCAGAUGGUCUCGGGCUUGAAGAGGCUGAAUGCACCGCUGAAGGAAGACCUCCAAGAGAUCCAUACCAGUGACCCCGUCACGGAUAAGCUGGACCACUCGCUCAACCAGCACCCUCACCCGCGCUUUCUCCUCCGGGAGCACCUUCAAAGGGGAUGGUUUCCUCACUCGGUCCAUGGUAAAGGGAGGGAGGCCAGUCGACUGCCCUAGCGUCGACUGGUCUUUACAAUAAAACCAGGUCGACUGCCAUCCGCGAACUGAGUCGGGAAGAAUCAUGGCCGGAAAGGAGCUUUUCCCUCUCAUCUGGAUACCAAGACCCCCACACAACUGGAUCACUUGAGUCCUCUCGUCACUCGGAUUAGCCUUUUUCACUGUUUGGGAGCGACAAGUGAAAAUAUGCUUGAAAAGACCCUAGUGAGGCCGGCAACCCAGGAAAUUCUCACACAAAGAAAUGAAAGCGGCGAGAUAAACGAUUGUGUUGGGAGUAAAACGGUGGAGUUGUGCCCCAAAGAAGUUCAGAAAUCCUCGAAAGAAAGGGUGAGGAGGCAAGGAAAAUCCACGGUCGACGUGGGUGGCAAGAAGAACGCGCUCACCCUCCCGGGGUUGCGGCUCGGAUUCCUUCCCCGGAAGCCGCGCCGAGUCGUAGGGGAUCUGCCCUCCCUCGGCCAGGUCGUCGAGGUCUUCUUGGGUGAGCUUCAAGUGGAUCCAGUCGCCCUGGAUCCAGCCCUUCGGCAGGCCGGUUCGCGAGGAGGAUCCGCCCCGACUAGUCGCCUUCCCCUUCGACCUCACCGUCGCCUUCUUUUCCCGCUCCAGAGCCGCCGUAUUCUCCUUCCCCAUCGUUGCCGGCGAGACGCGUACGGAACGGUGGCGCGAGGGCGAGAGCGAGCGCAGCGGAGGAGCGUGAAGAGGAGAAGAGAUAAUGGGGAUGCACUGUUCGGGAGACCCCGGUCCAACGCCUUAUAUGAGGCCGCUUCCGAGUGGCUGACUGGUAGGCCCGGGCGGUUCUGUCAAAUCCCGUAACAAUCGCGCGCGCGAUACAUGGAAAAAAAGGUGGCGCGGGGAUCGAGGCGGCUCCGCUCUAUCCCAUCCGAUUACUGCGGCCUCCCCCGUCCCGCGCGCUUCCCAAAAUUUAGAUCCCACGAAAUCUGCGGGCAGCGGAACAACUUGUCAGACCAAAGAUCUCCUCCGCACCGUCACUCGGAGCCUUUCAAGUAAAGAAACUCACUCGACAAAAACCUAAGAAUGGAUCAAGGCGACUGGAAAGGAAGUCGCUGCCAUCGCUCAGGUUCAUUGAUCCGAAACAAGAAAUGCUCACGGCAUGAAAAAUGAGUCGGAGAAGUGCUCAAUCCCUUUCCCACUCAAACCUCGAUCCAUUCGGGGGCUAAUGAUGAAGCUAUGUACCUAGGGUAGGGGCAUGGAUCUGUCCAAACUGACCUACCCAAGGACAUCUCCAGAAGAAAUCAUCUUUCAAUCGACUUGGAGGUGUUCCACUCGACAGACUCGAAGAUACUCGACCAAGAAGCAACCACUCGACCAAGACCAAGCCACUCGACAGUCAGGAGACCUAAAGGCACUCCGCAUGCUAACGGUCGGUUAUUAAGUAGCUUUUAUGGUCAUCAUAGCACUUUAUUACUAGCGUUACGAGUAAUGCCCUGCCUUAAUGUACAUUGAACCCUUUGUAACGUGGGCUGGCUGGGGUCUUGGCGCACUCUAUAUAAGCCACCCCCCUCCUCCGAGACAAGGGUUCGCACCCCUGUAAUUCAUACACGCAUAAUCCAGUCGACCGCCUCCGGGCUCUGAGACGUAGGGCUAUUACUUCCUCCGAGAAGGGCCUGAACUCGUAAACCUUGCGUGCUUACAACUUCUCCAUAGCUAAGAUCUUGCCUCUCCAUACUUACCACCCUACACUAUUGUCAGACUCAGAACCACGACAAGUAGUGUUACCUAGAUUCAUCUGCUGAUGCCAGUAAGCGCUCCCUAGCUGUGCAGGAGGUGGCUCAUGCCAGGAAGAGCUCCCUCGCUGUUGUUAUGGCAUAUCUCUCUCAAGGUAGUUUUGGUGAUUGAUGACAACAUGUUUGCGGACUAAUCUUGUGCGUUGAAUUAUUCUCAGAUUCUCCCCUGGCACGAGACGCUUUCUUCCCCUCGGAGUGUAUUUCAAGACGGUGUAGCUCUUUCAUUUCUUUCUAGGUGGACUAGUUGCGUAGAGGGCACCGUACUAUCAAGAGGGGGUCCGCUGGGGUUUUGCUUGGGUGGAAUCAUCACGUACACAUCAGCUUCUCACCCUUCGAGCUUUUCCUGUCCAUUGAAGAGAUCUCUCUUCCUUGUUCUGUCUAGGUCUAAGCGGCAGUACCGCGCACCCAGCGGUAGUAUCGCUGAGAAGCCACAAGCGGCAGUACCGCUUCGCAGCGGUAGUACCGCCGUGGCUCCACAGCAGUAGUACCACUGGGGGCCUGGCACCUCCGCUGGUCCUCAGCUUAUUUGAGAGAUCCCUUCUCUCUCUCUCGCGCCCCAGCGGUAGUACCGCUGGGUAGUUUGGCUCCUACCACCUCGAUUCGAGAGGUCUUUUUCUCGUGUCGGGUUUUGCGGCACUAGUCACGGUUGUAGUGGCGGUAGUACCGUUCUAGGAGCGGUAGUACCGCCCUACCACCACGGUAGUACCGCAUUUGGGUCCGUUCCCUACUAAGUCUCCUCAGCAUGGCAGUACCGCUGGUUGGUGCGGUAGUACCGUUGCCUGGCGGUAGUACCGCCCCCUCUCAGCGGUAGUACUGCCCUGUGCGGGGCUGGUUGGUGGGGGGCAACGGGAUUGUUGCCCCCACUAUAAAAGGGAGUCCCCUUCCUCCUUCUCACCUACCUCUUCCUCCCCUAAGCUCCAUUUAUUGCUCAAGCUCCAUUAAAUACUCCAAGCUUCAUUUCCGCCCGAUCUAUCUCUCUAGCCAAUCAAAUUUGUUGAUUUGCUCGGGAGUGGUUGAGAAGGCCCCGAUCUACACUUCCACCAAGGGAUUUUCGAUUCCCCCACUCAUCCCUAGCGGAUCUUGUUACUCUUGGGUGUUUGAGCACCCUAGACGGUUGAGGUCACCUCGGAGCCAUAUUCCAUUGUGGUGAAGCUUCGUGGUCUUGUUGGGAGCCUCCGAUUAAGUUGUGGAGAUUGCCCCAACCUUGGAGACAUUGAAAACCUCCAUGAUGACCGAAGUUGAAAGCAUGUUUACUAAAUUUCUUGAGGGGCUUAAACUAUCCACCACACCGUUGAAAGUGGGUGACCCCGCCAACAAGGUGACGGAUGCUAUCCCCGACAAGGGGGAAGCUAGUAGUGAAAAGGCUCCUUCUUCUAGUGGUAAGAAUGGCACCGGCAUCUUUGCCCAUGUGGAACCACCACUUGUUUAUGGUGGACCGGUUCCUUCCACUCAUUUGAAUCAUGCCGGUCCUCCCCCUAAGAUUGUGAAAAAUGAGGAUUUUGAUUCUUGGGUUUACCGCUUUAAACGUCAUUUAAAUCAUGUGAACACUAACCUUUGGAGAAUCAUUGAAGAAGGUUUCUAUCCACAUGAUCCAAGCAACUUCACUCCUCGAGAAGCCGCGGACAAUCAAUUCAAUGAGAAUGCUCUCUUCAUCAUUCAAGAUGCAAUUCCACCCGAAGACCUACCUCAUCUUCGUCCCUUCGCCUUGGCCAAAGAUGCAUGGCAUUGUGUCGUGUCUCUCUACCGGGGAAGCGCAAGCAUUCAACGCUCCAACUAUGAAGUGGUACAAGAUGAGGCUGAUGAGUUUGCAAUGAAGGAAGAUGAAGAACCUUGUGAGCUUUAUCGGAGAGUAACCAAACUUGCGGUCUCACUACGAGAUCACGAGAGCAAGGACACGGAUGACAAUUGGAUCAAGCGCAAAUUCCUCAAGGCAAUGAUGCCCUACCACAAGGCCAUGUCCUCCAUCAUUCGUCAAAGACCGGACUUCCACACUUUGACCUCAAGCGAAGUGUUGGAUGAGUUUGUGGCCAUGAACAUUUUGGACAAGACCGCCGACAAUGCGGUGCUCCGUUCUCAAUAGGCAAAGAAGCCUAACCUUGCAUUGAAGGCCAAGCUCACCGUGGAAGAAGAAGAAGAGGAAGAAGAGGAGAGCAACCCCAAAGAUACGAAGUAUGCAUAUCAUGAACACAUGGCACUUGCUUCAAGGCAAUUUUGGAGCAAGAAAAACUUGAGGCCCAACUUUAGCAAAAACAACUCGAGUGGCACAAGGAGCAAGCAACGUGUAAGAACUUGCUACAAUUGCGGCAACGUGAGUCAUUUCGUUGCGGAAUGCCCGUAUGAGAAGAGGGAAGACAAUGGUGGCAAACUCAUCUAAAAGGACAAGGCCAAGUCGUUCCCCAACAAGAACAACUUCACCAAGAAGACUCCUCCCAAGGCUUUGGUUGUGCAAGAAGAGUACAAUGAGGAUGAUGACGAUGAUGAAGAUGAUGAGUCGGUUGCCAUGGCCUCCAUUGCCAUUGCAACAACUUCACGGGUGUCUCUCUUCGACUCACCCAACGAGAGCAUCACCGCCAAGUGCCUCAUGGAUAAAGCCACCAACAAGGUAACCUCCAACAUCAAAACUACCAUCAUUAAUCAUCCUUCCCAAACAGAUAGCAUUAAUGAACUUGAGGGAGCUAAUGUGGAGGCUAACGAGUUUGAGGCUUUUAUGGGCAAACUCAAGGGAAAAUCCGAGAAGCACUUUGUUGCUCUCUUGGAACAACUUGGUGAGGCCAAUGACAUGAUCGAGGCUCAUGAAGACACCAUCUCUAAGAUGGAAGGGCAUAGUCGUGACUAUGCCGAUGAGAUUUUGGAUCUUUCCAAUGCUCUUGAGGAAGAGCGUGGUCUUCGUUUGGCUCUUGAGGAGUCACACAACGUUGAUCAUGCUAAGUUAAAGAAAGAUUAUGAUCAUGCCCUCAUUGUUUCUCGUGUGCUAAAUUCCGAGAAGGCCAAACUCGGGGUUGAUCUUGCUAGACUCAAAGAGGAGUUUGAUAUACUUGACAAGGCCCACAAGACCUUGAAGGGUAUUCACGCUAGUCUCAAGGAGUCUCAUGAUCAACUCCAAGUGAAGCUAACUAAGGAGAAAGCAACUUUUCCUCAUAUGGUUUUAAUUGAUAAUGCAAAUGCUACUAACCCGUGUUGUGAGCAUAUACAUCUUGUUGAGGAAAAUGCUAAGUUGAAGGAGCAACUUGAGAGAGGUCUUGCGACUUGCAUACAAGGCAAGAAGAACCUCAACGAUCUCUUGAUCAACCAAAAGGGAGGUGUGGCCAAGGAAGGGGUUGGGUACGUGCCCGACUCCAAGAACAAGAAGAAGAAUGACAAGACCAAACGACCUCCUCCCCUCAUGCAAACCUUUGUGAGGGAGGGAGAGAGUGCCCCCGAGGAGAAGAAGAAGAACAAUGUCAAGAAGGGCAAUGUCAUCCCUCCAAACAAAGCCGACGAUUUUAAUCCUUUUUAUGUGUUAUGCCGUGCUAGUGGUGGGCAUGUUGAUGCCAAAUUUGUUGGUUCUCUUCAUGAGUACAUUGAAUGGUCUAUUUGGGUUCCUAAGACCCUUGUUACUAACAUCAAAGGACCCAUUACAAAAUGGGUACCUAAAACCAAGCAUUGAUCUCUUGUAGGUGUUUGCUUCCGGUGGUGGAUCAUGGUUGCUCGAUAGCGGAGCUACAAAUCAUAUGACCGGAAGCAAGGACUUGGUGGUGGACGUGCACAAAGUUCCAUCUAUGCCCACCAAUGUCGAGUGGGGUGACGCCUCAUCCUCUAAGGUAUUGGGACUUGGCAAGGUGGUCAUCUCUCAUGAUCUCACGAUCGAGAAGGUCAUGCUUGUUGAGUCCCUUGCAUACAAUUUACUUUCCGUUCGUCAACUUGCAAUCAUGGGCUUUGCCACUUUCUUUGAUAUCGAUACCGUGGCCCUCUUGUGGAGCAAGACUCUUAAAGUAGCUUUUGUUGGGCAUGUCGAGAAUGGUCUAUAUGUGAUUAACUUUUCGGAGCGACCCACUAAGACCGCGACAUGCCUAAUGGCUAAAGUUGAUGUGGGAUGGCUUUGGCAUCGCCAUUUAGCCCAUGUCAAUAUGAGAUCUUUGCAAAGUCUUCUCAAGGGGGACCAUGUCCGUGGACUAACGAAUGUUAGCUUUGUUAAAUAUCGUGCUUGUAGUGCCUGUAUCGAAGGAAAGCUACAUGAGAAGGCUCACCCUCCCACGACUAUCAUUUAUUCAAAGAGGCCCUUGGAGCUCCUUCACAUGGAUCUUUUUGGGCCCCCAUCCUUCCAUAGUCUUGGAGGUAGGAAGUAUUGCUUGGUGAUUGUGGAUGACUACUCAAGGUACACAUGGGUGUAUUUCUUCAAGAGGAAGAUCGAGACCCAACAAACCGUCAUUGACUUUGCAAAUGAAGCACAAUGUCAACACAAUUCAAAGAUCUUGACAAUAAGAAGUGACAACGGCACCGAGUUCAAGAACUACACCUUGGAUGAAUUUCUUAGUGAUGAGGGAAUCAAGCAUCAAUAUUCCGCACCAUACACCCCUCAACAAAACGGUGCUGAGGAGAGGAAUAACCGGACGUUGAUGGAUGCGGCAAGGACCAUGAUGGCGGAGUUCAAGUCUCCAUACAACUUUUGGGCCGAAGCCAUCAACACCGCGUGUCAUGCAUCCAAUCGGCUCUACCUCCGCAAGGGCUUGAACAAGACCCCAUAUGAGAUACUCACCGGUAACAAGCCCAACCUCAAGUACUUUCGGGUAUUCGGGUGUAAGUGUUUCAUUCUCAAGAAAGGUGUUCGGUUGUCUAAAUUUGAGGCUAGAGCUUAUGAGGGCAUAUUUGUUGGUUAUGCUACAAACUCUCAUGCUUACCGUGUCCUCAAUAAAUCCACGGGACUUAUUGAGGAGACGUGUAACGUGGAGUUUGAUGAGAAUAACGGCUCCCAAGUGGAGCAAAGUGGCACUUGUGAUGUAGGUGAUGAAAUUCCUCCUCAAGCCAUAAGAAGAAUGGGUGUUGGUUUCAUCCUACCCAUUGAGGAACCCCUUGUGGCCGAAGGAGAAGGACAAUGCUCCACUCAAGUGGAGCCAUCACCAACCCAAGGCCCACACGCUUCCGAAGAACAAAGUGAAGGCCCUCAACCUCAUGAACAAGACCAAGGGCAAGAUCAUACUCAAGACGGUGCUGACACACCAAGUGAUGCCCAAGGUCAAGUUCUCUCCCCCGAGCAAGUUCAAGAUCAAGAACAAGUUCAUGACGGCACUCAAGAUGAUCAAGUAACCGCUCCUCAACUCACCACCGAGGAGGAAUUAGAGCAUCGUGCCACCAAGGUUGCUUCCAAGCUCUCCACCAAGGAUCAUCUCAUGACGAAUGUGCUUGGAAGCUUAAGAAAGGGGGUAAGCACUCGUAGACAAUUAGCAAAUUAUUGUGAGCAUCACGCGUUUGUCUCUUGUGUGGAGCCCCACAAGGUCUAUGAGGCGCUAGAAGAUCCGGAUUGGCUCAAUGCCAUGCACGAAGAACUCAACAACUUCGAGCGCAACAAAGUGUGGAGAUUGGUGCCAGGGCCAACGGGGAACCAUAAUGUCAUUGGAACCAAGUGGAUAUUCAAGAACAAGCAAGAUUCCCAUGGGAUUAUCAUUCGCAACAAGGCUCGUUUGGUAGCACAAGGCUACUCCCAAGUCGAGGGUAUCGACUAUGGUGAAACCUUUGCUCCCGUUGCUCGUCUUGAAUCCAUUCGCAUGUUGAUUGCAUAUGCUUCUCAUCAUAACUUUAAGUUACAACAAAUGGAUGUGAAGAGUGCUUUUCUUAAUGGUCCCAUUAAUGAAUUGGUUUACGUCAAGCAACCCCCCGGGUUCGAGGAUCCCUACUUUCCCGAUCAUGUGUAUCAACUCGAUAAGGCACUCUAUGGCCUUAAACAAGCCCCACAUGCAUGGUAUGACCACCUUACCGAGUUGUUAAAAGACCGUGGUUUUGAAGUUGGGCUAAUCGACCCCGCUCUUUUUACUAAGAAGGUCAAAGGGGAGUUGUUUGUGUGCCAAUUAUAUGUUGAUGAUAUUAUCUUUGGUUCUCCUAACAAAUCUUUCAAUGAGGAAUUUGCCGCUCUCAUGACCUCAAAGUUCGAGAUGUCCUCCAUGGGAGAGUUGAAGUUCUUUCUAGGGUUCGAAGUGAAGCAAAGAAGAGAAGGAACUUUCAUCAAUCAAUCCAAAUACACUCAAUACAUGCUCAAGAGAUUCAAGCUAAGUGACGUCAAGCCGUCUUCCACUCCAAUGCCCACCAAGUGCCAACUUGACUUAGAUCCCAAUGGUAAAGUGGUGGAUCAAAAGGUAUAUCGUUCCAUGAUUGGAUCCUUGCUUUACCUUUGUGCAUCUAGACCGGACAUCAUGUUGAGUGUGGGAAUUUGUGCACGGUUUCAAGCCACACCUAAGGAAAGUCACUAUGUGGCGGUCAAACGAAUCUUUCGAUAUUUGGCUCAUACCCCAAACUUUGGCUUAUGGUACCCAAGAGGAUCAAAAUUCAAGCUUGUAGGGUACUCAGAUUCCGAUAGGGCGGGAGACAAAGUGGAUAGGAAGUCCACUUCCGGAGGGUGCCAAUUCCUUGGUUGCUCUUUGGUAAGUUGGUCUUCCAAAAAGCAAAGUUGUGUCUCUCUCUCGUCCACUGAAGCGGAGUAUGUGGCGGCCGGUAGUUGUUGUGCACAACUCUUAUGGAUGAGGCAAACUUUAAAGGAUUACGGUGUCACUUGUGACAAAGUGCCUCUUUGGUGUGACAAUGAAAGUGCCAUCAAGAUCUCUCUCAACCCGGUGUAACACUUCAAGACGAAGCAUAUUGAGAUCCGGUAUCACUUCAUCCGGGGUCACAUUAGGCAAGGAGAGAUCGAGCUCAACUACGUCAACACUCAUGAUAACCUUGCAGAUAUCUUCACGAAGCCCUUGGAUGAAGCAAGAUUUCGCGAGUUAAGGCAUGAGCUAAAUAUCAUUGAUUCGAGCAAUGUUGCUUGAACUCGCGCACACCCUAUCACGCUCAACUUGUUGUCUAGUUUAGGUGUAGGCAUGGACAUAGGGGGAGUGUUGUUCUCUCAAUGAACUCUCCCUCCCCCCAUUAUGCAUAAAUUGAUCAAGUCUUUCACCUUAGCCAUUGUUGAUGGCACUUGUGCUUCAAAGACGAGUUUUGGUCAUGGGCCCAAGGUUAAAAUCUUCGCGGUGCCAUACCUUUUGACUCAAACAUAGGUGGCCUCGGCCACCGCCCUCUUUUGAAGAGGUGUGUCUUGGUAAUUUGCUGUUGUGCUUUGUUGUUUCUCUCUUGCCGUUUUUGUCGUUUCGUCGAGCUAAAGCCGUGUCUGUUUAGUUGUCGUGGCGUGUUGGGCGGUACUACCGCUGGUGGUGCGCGGUACUACCGCUUAUAAGCGGUACUACCGCCCCCCAGCGCGGUACUACCGCUGAGGGACGGGACCUGAGGGUGAAGUCAAGGCAGGGGGAGGUUUCUUCUCCCCCAUACCCAUUCACUUCGCCCCUCUUGUCUCUUCCUCUCUCCAGCCUCUUCUUGCCAUGGGAGGGCUCCGGCGGAUCUCCGUCUCCAGGGCGUCCCUCUCCAUUUCCUUUGGUGGAGUCGAUCCCCACCUCGUUCUCUUGCCAUGGAUGCCGGUAUUGCCCCCGUUCCUUCUUUCGUUUUGUCUCCUUUUAGUUCUUGUUUCUUAGGGGCAAUGGUGGUUGCAUCUCUAGAUUUUUGGUGAAAUCUAGGCAUGAGUUGGUUGGAGAAGGCAACUAGACUUUCUAGAUUAGAGUUUGGUAGGAUUAUUUUUGAAUUUGGUAGGCCGGUAGUGCCGGAUCUGACCACGGUAGUAGGAAACCACUGUUUCACCGUCUCGUGCUAUGAAACUGCUGUUUAUCUGCCUCAAGCCGUACUACCGCUCCCUUUGGAGCGGUACUACCGCUUGACCUAGAGCGGUACUACCGCUCCCUUUGGGGCGGUACUAUCGCGGGCAGGUCACGGUACUACCGUUGCAUGUCAAUUUCCAUCAUUCUCCUGCCUUACCUUGAUCUUUUUGUUGUGUUUGUUGGCUUAUGCUCGUUCUUUCUGGUUGUUUCGCGUUGUUCUUGUGUUUGGCUCCAGGUGAUGACCGUUCUGAGCAGCAAGGUCGCCGUAUCAACCCCGGGCGUGCCACAUCAAAACGCUACCGCACCUCAGAGCCUGCCGGUGGUUCCUCAAGCACCCAACCGCCUCCAGCAAGUGCUUCUGCAAGUGUUCCUCCACCUCCUCGACAACCGAAGCGAGCCGCCAACAAGCCAAAAGGGAAGACUGUGACUGAGAUGACCAACAAGGAUUUUUGGGAGAAGCGUCGCCGCAACCCCUAUGCGGUGGACCAAGAACCCACUUUGGUCAAUCGCCCGUUCGGGAACCGUUUUCAGUUUGCCAUCUACUUUGAUGUGAUCAAGGCCAAGAAGAAUCUUUUUGUUGAUGUUCGCUCCAUUGACACUGAUGCUAUGGAGAAGGAUCCGGAGUACUUUGGCGAAGCUCUUCAGAUGUGCACUCAGCUAAACAUUCUCAGGAUCAUGCAAUUCAAUAAGGAUUUCGAUGCGGAUUUGGUGGCUCAAUUCUAUGCCACCGUCCACCUUGGGAUGGAUGUCGACAGGACUCUGACAUGGAUGACCAAUGGCAAGCUGCUUUCUGUCAAGUGGAAGGUGUAACACCCUCGAUGCGACUAUAGCUCCCACGGGUCGAGGCACGACUUAGAGACAUAAUCGCAUUGAAGGCAUAUGUUGCAAGUUAGGCACUCUUCACAACAUCCCAUGUAAUAUGAAUAAUAAAGGGAAGAACAUAGUUGGCUUACACUCGCCACGUCAAGCAAGAACAUAAAUAACAUUACAUCAUCCAAAACACUCAUGGCCCGACUACGGUGCCAAAAUAGAAGAGAACCCAACAUGCGACAACGGUCCCAAUCACCCCCAACUGGGCACCACUACUGAUCAUCGAGAAAGGAAACGUAGUAACGCUAAGAGUCCUCGUUGAACUCCCACUUGAGCUCGUACUCGUCACCUGGAGCGGAAUCACCUGGACCUGCAUCUGGAGUUAUAGUAAUCUGUGAGUCACAGGGACUCAGCAAUCUCGCACCCUCGCGAUCAAGACUAUUUAAGCUUAUAGGAAGGGGUAAGGCAAAUAUAAGUGGAGCUGCAGCAAGCGACUAGCAAGUAUGGUGGCUAACUUAUACGCAAAAGAGGGCGAGAAGAGGAGGCAAAGCACAAGCGAGAAGCUAGAGAACAACCUGCGCAAACAUUACUCCAACACCGUGUCCACUUCCCGGACUCCGCCGAGAAGAGGCCAUCACGGUAACACACACAGUUGAUUCAUUUUAAUUAAUUAAGGUUCAAGUUAUCUACAACCGGACAUUAACAAAUUCCCAUCUGCCCAUAACCGCGGGCACGGCUUUCAAAAGUUCAAUCCCUGCAGGGGAGUCCCAACUUAGCCCAUGACAAGCUCUCAUGGUCAACGAAGGAAUAGACCUCCUCCCAAGACGUUCCGAUCAGACUCGGUAUCUCGGUAAUUCAAGACACUUCGACAGGUUAAAACAAGACCAGCAACACCGCCCGAAUGUGCCGACAAAUCCCGAUAGGAGCUGCACAUAUCUCUUUCUCAGGGCACACUCAGAUGAGCGCUCCAUACAACUAAAACCAAACCUCGAGUUUCCCCGAGGGGGCGCUGCACAGGACUCUAGUUUGGACCAACACUCAGAGGAGCACUGGCCCGGGGGGGUUAAAUAAGAUGACCCACGGGCUCCGGAAACCCGAGGGAAAAGCGGCUAGGUGGCAAAUGGUAAGACCAAGGUUGGGCAUUGCUGGAAAAGCUUUAAUCAAGGCGAACUAUCAAGGGGUUCCCAUUAUAACCCAACCGCGUAAGGAACGCAAAAUCCGGGAACAUAACACCGAUAUGACGGAAACUAGAGCGGCAAGAGUGGAACAAAACACUAGGCAAGAGGCCGAGCGUUCCACCCUUUACCAAGUAUAUAGAUGCAUUAAGAUAACAUAGCAAUUUAAUGAUAUCCCAAUAAGUAAAUAAAUGUCCCAACAAGGAACGGCUCCAAUCUUCACCUGCAACUAGCAACGCUAUAAGAGGGGCUGAGCAAAGCGGUAACAUAGCCAAUCAACGGUUUGCUAGGACAAGGUGGGUUAGAGGUUUGACAUGCAAUUGGGAGGCUGACAAGUAAAUGGUAGGCAUCGUAGCAUUGGCAUAGCAAAGAGCGAGCAAACUAGCAUAGCAAAGAUAGUAGUGAUUUCAAGGGUAUGAUCAUCUUGCCUGCACAGUUGUCAUAGUUGACUGGAUCCUCACAAGCAAACUCAACGGGCUCCUCGGUAGCGAACUCGUCUCCCGGCUCUACCCAAACAAGACAAACAAGCAACAAGGAUACAAUCAACCACGUGCAAGCUCAAACAAUAAGAUGCAAUGAUGAUAUGCUAUGCGGGAUGCGAUGCGGGAUGCAAUAUGCAAGAUAUGACAGGAAAUGCAUGAACCUGGCCUCAACUUGGAAUUCCAAGGGUGCCACUGGAAAGAUGAGAUGAAAUCGCUUGAAAACGAUAUAAAGAACGCCGGAAUCGGAGUUACGGUUUGGAAAUGGCAAGCUAAGAAUGACACCGGUCUGCAAUUUACAGCAAGUAGGCAUCUAAAUGCAAUGAAAUGAACAUGCUACAGCACCCAAACAUGGCAACAAAAUACAUGGCAGGGAUGCACACAAGAUUCUUAACAAAAGACUAGCACUGGGCCACAGCCAAUUCAUCCAUUAAGAGGCUCAAACAAGCAUGGCAAAAACGCAAAUGCAAAACAGAUUCCAGACUUAGUGAAAUUAUCACUUGUCUGGAAUUUCAGAUCACGAAGCCCUCUUCGGAGCAGCAAAACAACAUGAUACAUGACCUGAUUAAGAUAAAUAAGAACAUGGCAUGGAGCUACUCAACAAUCUUAACAAAAGUUCCAAAGUGACCUGGGGCCAAAAGGGAUCACAAAAUAUACUAAUAAGCACACGAACAUAGCUAAAACACAAUCAGUUUUCAGACUUAGUGAAAACUGAGACAUGCUGAAAUAUAACUCACGAAGGCACGUAAAUGAGCUCGAUGCACUCACCACGAUGCAAGUCAUGGCAAGGCAGGCAUACAUCCAUUUAGAAGGCACAAAAUGCAAGCUAGGCAUGGCAAGAACAAUGGCAUAUCAUGCACGGAUCAACUACAAUAACAUCGGCAAAAUCGCAAACGAGUUGACGAUCUGCCCAGAUUCACAACGAAGCAAAAGUAGAGCUCGAUUGACUCAAGCUAGGGUGCUCCAUAAUUGCAAACAAAGACAUGGAUGGAUAGAGAAUAACGAGAUUAACAAAACUCCUUUACUGAUCAUCCUCAAAAGAGGCACAGAUCACUAGGAAACAACACGAACAUAUGGCAUCAUGAACUAAAUAAUCCCAGACUUAGUGAAAACUACUAAGUCCCUGAAAACAGAUUUACCGGGUGCCUCACUUUGCAAGCUUGCACAAGUCACCACACACAUCCUAAAAAUGCAUGGGUUGCACCUCUGGAAAGAAGACAAAAUCCUUAACAAAACAUAUGAAGGACUCACAGGCAUAGCAUGCACACAAUAAUCAUGGCAAAAAUGACAAAAGUCUAAGAUGAACUAGCAGAUCUGACAAUUAACUCACGAAGGCUCCUUCUAACAGCAUUUCGGGCAUUAAGAUGAGCUCAAAUGAAAAUGAUGCAAUGGAAUGAAAUGAUUUACUCUCUGAGGUGAACAUUUUGAUAUGCUAUAUGCAUGAAUCGGAGCUACGGAUGCAAAGUUAUGAAGCCGCGAACAGAGGCACUUGGAUCUGUAGAUUUCAGGACUUAGACGAAAUUUAUACCCUGCAAAAGUCAACGGGACGAGGAUAUCCCGGGACGGAGGGAUCCGGGCGGCGGGGCUGCAUUUGGAUCGCUGAACCAGUGGAUCUGAUCCACCCGACUAGAUCGGACCCGGCCGGAGCUCCAGCGAGGCGAGGCAUCCGGCGAGCGGCGGACGGCGGCCGGGGCGGCAGCGGCCGGCGGCCGAGGCNNNNNNNNNNNNNNNNNNNNNNNNNNNNNNNNNNNNNNNNNNNNNNNNNNNNNNNNNNNNNNNNNNNNNNNNNNNNNNNNNNNNNNNNNNNNNNNNNNNNNNNNNNNNNNNNNNNNNNNNNNNNNNNNNNNNNNNNNNNNNNNNNNNNNNNNNNNNNNNNNNNNNNNNNNNNNNNNNNNNNNNNNNNNNNNNNNNNNNNNNNNNNNNNNNNNNNNNNNNNNNNNNNNNNNNNNNNNNNNNNNNNNNNNNNNNNNNNNNNNNNNNNNNNNNNNNNNNNNNNNNNNNNNNNNNNNNNNNNNNNNNNNNNNNNNNNNNNNNNNNNNNNNNNNNNNNNNNNNNNNNNNNNNNNNNNNNNNNNNNNNNNNNNNNNNNNNNNNNNNNNNNNNNNNNNNNNNNNNNNNNNNNNNNNNNNNNNNNNNNNNNNNNNNNNNNNNNNNNNNNNNNNNNNNNNNNNNNNNNNNNNNNNNNNNNNNNNNNNNNNNNNNNNNNNNNNNNNNNNNNNNNNNNNNNNNNNNNNNNNNNNNNNNNNNNNNNNNNNNNNNNNNNNNNNNNNNNNNNNNNNNNGGCGGCUCCACCGGGGGGCGGGGCGAGGCGAGAUGGGCCCUGGGGGCCGGCCUUGGACUCCCGGGCCGGCGGGGAUGUGGGGUGGUGGCGCGGCCAACGGGGCGGCGACACGUGGCGGCGGCGGGGUAAGUCGGACGUGUCCGGCGGCGGCGGAUCUGAGAUUUUAGGGUUUCGGGGGAGGAGACCCGGGAUUUGGAAUGGGGGGUGUUUAAAUAGGCAUAGAGGGAGCUAGGAGAGUUCAAAUGAGGUGCGGUUUUCGGCCACGUGAUCGUGAUCGAACGCUCUAGGACAUGGAGCAGAGUUUGGUGGGUUUUGGGCCAAAUUGGAGGGGUGUUGGGCUGCAACACACGCGAGGCCUUUUCGGUCCCUCGGUUAACCGUUGGAGUAUCAAACGCAGUCCAAAUGAUACGAAACUUGACAGGCGGUCUACCGGUAGUAAACCAAGGCCGCAUGGCAAGUCUCCGUCCAAUCCGGAAAUGUUUAAUCCCCACACACGAAGGAAAGCUAGAAAUGACCACCAGAGGAGAACGAAGCGCCGGAAUGCAAAACGGACAACGGGGAAAAAGCUCGAAUGCAUGAGAUGAACACGCAUGCAAAUGCAAUGCACAUGAUGACAUGAUAUGAGAUGCAUGACAACGAAAACAACACACGGAGACAAAGACCCGAACCCGAGAAAUAAAUAUAACUUAACGCCGGAAACGGCAAGAGUUGGAGUACAAAUUGGGAAAUUUAUAUCCGGGGCGUUACAACACUCCACCACUACGAAAAGAUCUCGUCCCGAGAUCUAGGACUGAAAGAACUCCGGGUACUCAGAACGGAGGUGAUCCUCGCGUUCCCAGGUAGCUUCACGGUCGGAAUGGUGUGACCAUUUGACUUUGAGAAAUUUGAUUGACUUGUUGCGAGUCUUGCGUUCAGUCUCUUCAAGAAUAGCAACUGGGUGCUCUCGAUAAGAGAGAUCUUCUUGGAGCUUAAUGUCCUCGAAGUUGACGGUGUGGUCAGGAGUCUUGAAGCACUUUCGAAGCUGAGAGACAUGGAACACGUCAUGAACAUUUGCAAAGUUUGAAGGAAGCUCGAGUUUAUAGGCGAGGUCGCCUCUCCUGCUGACAAUCUUGAAAGGUCCCAUGUAUCUAGGGGCAAGCUUCCGUUUGAUACCGAAGAGAUGAGUACCUUUCAUAGGAGAGACACGGAGGUAAACAUGAUCUCUGAUCUCGAAAUCCAAAUCAUGGUGCUUACUAUCAUAGUAGCUCUUCUGGCGGGAUUGGGCUGCUUUGAGUUAUCUCGAAUGACUUUGCACAUUUCUUCUGCUUCUGAGAUUAAGUCAUUACCCAGCAGCUGACGUUCACCGGUUUCAGACCAGUUGAGAGGGGUACGGCACUUCCUGCCAUACAGAAUUUCAAAUGGGGCCUUGCCCGAACUUGCUUGAAAACUAUUGUUGUAGGAGAAUUCAGCAUAAGGAAGACAAUCCUCCCACUUCAUGCCGAAGGAGAUCGCACAAGCCCUGAGCAUAUCUUCAAAAAUCUGGUUGACACGCUCGACUUGGCCGCUUGCUUGAGGAUGGAAAGCAGUGCUGAAGCGGAUGUUAGUGCCCAUGGCCUUCUGCAAAGAAUCCCAAAACUUCGAGGUAAAGAUGCUACCAGGGUCUGAAGAUAUCACUUGAGGAAUACCGUGCAGAGAGACAAUUCGAGAGGUGUAGAGUUCCGCUAAUUGAGCUGCAGUGAUCGACUCUUUGAUAGGCAGAAAGUGAGCCACUUUGGUGAGUUUAUCGAUGACAACAAAUAUAGCAUCAUUGCCACGCUUGGACUUUGGAAACCUAGUCACGAAGUCCAUUUCAAUGUGGUCAAACUUCCAUUCUGGAAUGGCAAGAGGUUGGAGGAGACCAGCUGGCCUUUGGUGUUCUGCCUUCACUCUUCUGCAGACAUCACAUUCAUUCACGAAUUGAGCGAUCUCGUGCUUCAUUCGAGUCCACCAAUAAGCUUGCUUGAGGUCCUGAUACAUCUUCGUGCUCCCGAGGUGGAUGGAGAGGAGAGAAUUGUGAGCCUCGUUCAUGAUCACUUUACGGAGGUCACCUUUGGGCACAACAAUACGAUCCUCGAAGAAGAGAGUGUCCUUGUCAUCAAGGCGGUAGCACUUGUACUUGGACUGACUCUUGGCAAUCCCAAUCUUCACCUUUUUCACCAUAGCAUCAAGAAGCUGGGAUUGGCGAAUCUGGUCUUCUAAAGUAGGAGAGACUUGAAGGUUGGCGAGGAAACCUUGGGGAACAACUUGCAGAUUAAGUUUGCGGAAAGCUUCACAAAGCUCGGGUUGAUAAGGCUUGAGAAUCAGACUGUUGCAGUAAGCCUUUCUGCUCAAAGCGUCAGCAAUCACAUUGGCCUUGCCUGGAGUAUACUCGAUACUCGGAUUAUACUCUUGAAUCAUUUCGACCCAUCGAGUUUGCCUGAGGUUGAGAUUAGGCUGAGUGAAGAUGUACUUGAGACUCUUGUGAUCAGUGAAAAUGUCCACUUUUCUUCCCAAUAGAAGAUGUCUCCAAGUCAACAAAGCAUGCACAACUGCCGCCAACUCGAGAUCAUGAGUGGGGUAGUUCUUCUCAUUAGGCUUCAACUGGCGAGAUGUAUAAGCAACAACUUUCUUCUCUUGCAUCAAAACUGUGCCAAGACCUUGGAGGGAGGCAUCAGAAAAGACCUCGUACGGCUUGGAUUCAUCAGGCGGAGUCAGAACUGGAGCAGUGAUCAACUUCUCUUUCAAAGCGUUGAAAGCAAUAUCACACUCCGGAGACCAAACAUACUUGGCGUGCUUCUGAAGAAGAUUAGAGAGAGGCUUCGCGAUCUUGGAAAAGUUAUCAACGAAUCUCCUGCAAUAGCUUGCGAGACCGAGGAAACUGCGGAGUUGCUUCACGUUCUGAGGAGGUUCCCAAUUCACAAUUGCAGACACCUUCUCAGGAUUCACGGCAAUGCCCUUGGCAGAGAUGAUAUGACCAAGAUAAAGAACCUCCUAGAGCCAAAAUUCACACUUGGAGAACUUGGCGUAGAACUGAUGUUCUCUGAGCUUAUCAAGAACCAAACGCAAAUGCUUGGCAUGAUCUUCCUUGUUCUUGGAGAAAACCAGAAUGUCGUCGAGAUAGACCAAAACGAAGUCAUUGGUGUAGGCGUUGAAGAUGAAGUUCAUCAUACGAGAGAACGUCGGAGGGGCGUUGGCGAGGCCAAAAGACAUGACAGUGUAUUCAUAUGAACCAAAGCUUGUUCUGAAUGCUGUCUUGGGAAUAUCUUCUUCACGAAUGUGAAUCUGGUGAUAACCCAUACGGAGAUCAAGCUUGGAGAAUACUUGGUCACCUUUGAGUUGUUCGAACAGCUCAUUGAUGUUGGGAAGUGGGUAUUUGUUCUUGAUGGUCUUCUUGUUCACCGGACGGUAAUCAACACAAAGUCGGUCCGGUCCAUCCUUCUUCUUCACAAAAAGAACACCACAACCCCACGGAGAAGAACUAGGCCGGAUAAGACCCAUUCUUUCUUGCUCAUCGAGUUGCUUCUUCAGCUCCUUCAACUCUUCAGGUCCGAGCUUGUAAGGACGUUUGCACACAGGUUCCGUGCCAGGCUCAAGUUCAAUAACGAAUUCAACUGGCCGGUGCGGAGGCAUUCCUGGGAGCUCUUCUGGAAAGACGUCUUGAUAUUCGCAAACGACUGGAAUUUGAGAGAUGGCAUCCAAUUCUUCCUUCUCAUUGAGAGAAAACAGACGGAUAGUAUUAUCCCGAGCGGCAAAGACAAUUACAUCCUCAGACGAAUGAGUUAAUUGAAUCUGCCUGGCAGCACAAUCAAGAUGUGCCUUGUGCUUAGAAAGCCAAUCCAUUCCGAGAAUAAGAUCAAUAUCCAAGUUACCAAGAACAAUUGGGGAAGAAAGGAACUUGUAGUCACCCAAUGUGAUAGUAACCUCAGGGACGCAGGUGUUAGCUGUCAUCUGCUUGCCCGGUGACACAAUUUGCAAGGAACUUUGCAGAUACUGAUAAUCACACUCAUACUUUGAUGCAAAAGGUUUAGAAAUGAAGCAAUGCGAUGCACCCAUGUCAAAAAGAACUUUUGCAGGAAUAUCAUUAACAGGAAGGUUACCCAUGAUCACAUCUGACGAGUCCUCUACCUGAGCUGCAUUCAUCAAAUUGACCUUGGAAAACUUAGGGUUAUGCUUGACCACAGCUGUACUUGCCAAUCUGACAGGAGGAGGAGGAGGAGGAAGACGCCUCUGGUUGAGACACUUAUUGGCAUAGUGACCCUUCUGUUGGCACUUGUUGCAUGUGACCUUAGAAAGCGGACGGUGAUACGGAGCACUCGAUCUUGGAGCUUGAGACGAAGUCUUGUUCUGAAAGCCAGGGUUGGGUGGGUGGGAAGAACCACUGCCACCUUUGCUCUUCUGCUGAAACGGCUGACAGAACGGAGGAGGAGGAAGCCAAAACUUCUGCUGCUUGGCCACUUGAGUAGAGGAAGAAGGAGUAACAUCUCUGACUCGCUUCCUGAAAGCAUCACACCUCAACUGAGCAGCCUCUUGCUUCAGUGCCAUGUUGUAGAACUCAUCGUAUCUCAAGGGCUCGAAGAGAACAAGAGCGAGCUGGAUAUCUUCUCUGAGACCACCCCUGAACUGGUAUAUCAUGCUCUUCUCAUCAGGCACGUCCUGCUUGGCAAAGCGGGCAAGCUUCUGGAAAAACUUGUUGUAGUCAUAGACAGACAAAGAGCCUUGCUUCAGAUUGCGGAAUUCCUCACGCUUGCUUUCAACCACGCUUUGCGGAAUAUGAUGAGCUCGGAAAUCUCGACGGAAAUCAUCCCAAGUGAUAACACGUCCACCUCUGGAAUCCUUGUACUGCUGGAACCAUUCUGCAGCUUGAUCUUUGAGUUGGAAGGAAGCGAACUUCACAAAGUCCUUAGGCCUGAUGUUACUGCACUCGAAAUGCUUACACAGAUCCACAAGCCAUUCGUCAGCAUCGGUUGCCUCAACACAAUUGCUGAAAGUCUUUGGCCCGUUAGCAAGGAACUGGUUGAGUGUAGCAAAGUGACUCUGAUUGCUGCCUUGAUUCCCUUGACUGCCUUGAUUGCGCUCUUGAAGAAUUUGCAUGAUCAGCUGUGUGCUUGCAUUAGUUGCGGCCAUCACAGCUUGCCAUGCCUCUGGAGGAGGUGGAGGUGGUGGUGGAUCAGGAUUCGGAGUCGUGCGCGUUGGAGGAGCCAUCCUGGAGAGGGUGACCACCAUUAGCACAUUGACAGAUAAAUAUUGAAGCUGAAACCAAUGGAAUGAAAAUUGCAACAUAUAGUCUUCACAUCCGAACAAAAUGAACGAAUGCAUUCCUCUUGAAAUGGUCACAUAUCCAUAAAUUGAGAAGCCACGUAGAAUUAAGGUAGAGAAAUAAAUCAACAAGGUACGGAUCAAGAACGAAUAAUCGGUAAGAAAUCCCAAUCUCAAACCAAUAUCCGUGGAAGAAGAACUAGAGCUACUAGAAUUCCCACCUAUGAAACUCCCGAACUUUUCCGGUUAUGCAAUCAGGUGUUGGGGAUACAGGGGAAGCAUAAUAUCUCACCCAAACUAGCAAAUCCUACAUCUAGCUGUAUCCAUCCUUCAACACAUAACCAAGAAAACUUCGGAAACCAUCUACCUCAAUCUUCGAAAAGCAUCCGUUAUACAAGUUAUGGCGAUACUCCCGAACUCCCGCCCCAGUACUGGGUGGCGUCGAGGUUAUCUCACCAACGAACUGCAUAAAAGAGAUUUUCGAUGUCGGCGAACAUAUCUCAAGUAUUCCAGAAUUGCAACGAUAAAAUUAUGAUGACAACACCUCAGAGCUCAACUCCCCGGGACACUUCCACUAAACCCCUGACAGGAGGCACCAAGUCAGUAUUCUCAUCAUAAGCCAUCGGAACGAUUCCAAGAUACUCGCGUGAUCCUAAAAAAAAUUUUAGUGAAAUUUGAGAAGAGAAGAGUCAAAACUCUACGUCAGGAUGCCUUACCAGAGCAAUGAGGAGACUGGGAAGUAAAAAGAAUUCCUAGACUCUCCGAUAUAUAAUUCCUAAAUGACUCAAAACAUUUUUCUAGACACAACUCGACCGCUAAAAACGAUCAAGCAAUGGGGCUCCUAAGGUCGGGGAAGGCUCUGAUUACCAACUUGUAACACCCUCGAUGCGACUAUAGCUCCCACGUGUCGAGGCACGACUUAGAGACAUAAUCGCAUUGAAGGCAUAUGUCGUAAGUUAGGCAAUCUUCACAACAUCCCAUGUAAUAUGAAUAAUAAAGGGAAGAACAUAGUUGGCUUACACUCGCCACGUCAAUCAAGAACAUAAAUAACAUUACAUCAUCCAAAACACUCAUGGCCCGACUACGGUGCCAAAAUAGAAGAGAACCCAACAUGCGACAACGGUCCCAAUCACCCCCAACCGGGCACCACUACUUAUCAUUGGGAAAGGAAACGUAGUAACGCUGAGAGUCCUCGUCGAACUCCCACUUGAGCUCGUACUCGUCACCUGGAACGGAAUCACCUGGACCUGCAUCUGGAGUUAUAGUAAUCUGUGAGUCACAGGGACUCAGCAAUCUCGCACCCUCGCGAUCAAGACUAUUUAAGCUUAUAGGAAGGGGUAUGGCAAAUAUAAGUGGAGCUGCAGCAAGCGACUAGCAAGUAUGGUGGCUAACUUAUACGCAAAAGAGGGCGAGAAGAGGAGGCAAAGCACGAGCGAGAAGCUAGAGAACAACCUGCGCAAACAUUACUCCAACACCGUGUCCACUUCCCGGACUCCGCCGAGAAGAGGCCAUCACGGUAACACACACAGUUGAUUCAUUUUAAUUAAUUAAGGUUCAAGUUAUCUACAACCGGACAUUAACAAAUUCCCAUCUGCCCAUAACCGCGGGCACGGCUUUCGAAAGUUCAAUCCCUGCAGGGGAGUCCCAACUUAGCCCAUGACAAGCUCUCACGGUCACCGAAGGAAUAGACCUCCUCCCAAGACGUUCCGAUCAGACUCGGUAUCUCGGUAAUUCAAGACACUUCGACAGGUUAAAACAAGACCAGCAACACCGCCCGAAUGUGCCGACAAAUCCCGAUAGGAGCUGCACAUAUCUCUUUCUCAGGGCACACUUAGAUGAGCGCUCCAUACAACUAAAACCAAACCUCGAGUUUCCCCGAGGGGGCGCUGCACAGGACUCUAGUUUGGACCAACACUCAGAGGAGCACUGGCCCGGGGGGGGUUAAAUAAGAUGACCCACGGGCUCCGGAAACCCGAGGGAAAAGAGGCUAGGUGGCAAAUGGUAAGACCAAGGUUGGGCAUUGUUGGAAAAGCUUUAAUCAAGGCGAACUAUCAAGGGGUUCCCAUUAUAACCCAACCGCGUAAGGAACGCAAAAUCCGGGAACAUAACACCGAUAUGACGGAAACUAGAGCGGCAAGAGUGGAACAAAACACUAGGCAAGAGGCCGAGCCUUCCACCCUUUACCAAGUAUAUAGAUGCAUUAAGAUAACAUAGCAAUUUAAUGAUAUCCCAACAAGUAAAUAAAUGUCCCAACAAGGAACGGCUCCAAUCUUCACCUGCAACUAGCAACGCUAUAAGAGGGGCUGAGCAAAGCGGUAACAUAACCAAUCAACGGUUUGCUAGGACAAGGUGGGUUAGAGGUUUGACAUGCAAUUGGGAGGCUGACAAGCAAAUGGUAGGCAUCGUAGCAUUGGCAUAGCAAAGAGCGAGCAAACUAGCAUAGCAAAGAUAGUAGUGAUUUCGAGGGUAUGAUCAUCUUGCCUGCACAGUUGUCAUAGUUGACUGGAUCCUCACAAGCAAACUCAACGGGCUCCUCGGUAGCGAAAUCGUCUCCCGGCUCUACCCAAACAAGACAAACAAGCAACAAGGAUACAAUCAACCACGUGCAAGCUCAAACAAUAAGAUGCAAUGAUGAUAUGCGAUGCGGGAUGCGAUGCGGGAUGCAAAAUGCAAGAUAUGACAGGAAAUGCAUGAACCUGGCCUCAACUUGGAAUUCCAAGGGUUUCACUGGAAAGAUGAGAUGAAAUCGCUUGAAAACGAUAUAAAGAACGCCGGAAUCGGAGUUACGGUUUGGAAAUGGCAAGCGAUUUAAGAAUGACACCGGUCUGCAAUUUACAGCAAGUAGGCAUCUAAAUGCAAUGAAAUGAACAUGCUACAGCACUCAAACAUGGCAACAAAAUACAUGGCAGGGAUUCACACAAGAUGCUUAACAAAAGACUAGCACUGAGCCACGGCCAAUUCAUCCAUUAAGAGGUUCAAACAAGCAUGGCAAAAACGCAAAUGCAAAACAGAUUCCAGACUUAGUGAAAUUAACACUUGUCUGAAAUUUCAGAUCACGAAGCCCUCUUCGGAGCAGCAAAACAACAUGAUACAUGACCUGAUUAAGAUAAAUAAGAACAUGGCAUGGAGCUACUCAACAAGCUUAACAAAAGUCCCGAAGUGACCUCGGGCCAAAAGGAUCACAAAAUAUACUAAUAAGCACACGAACAUAGCUAAAACACAAUCAGUUUUCAGACUUAGUGAAAACUGAGACAUGCUGAAAUAUAACUCAUGAAGGCACGUAAAUGAGCUCGAUGCACUCACCACGGUGCAAGUCAUGGCAAGGCAGGCAUACAUCCAUUAAGAAGGAACAAAAUUCAAGCUAGACAUGGCAAGAACAAUGGCAUAUCAUGCACGGAUCAACUACAAUAACAUCGGCAAAAUCGCAAACGAGUUGACGAUCUGCCCAGAUUCACAACGAAGCAAAAGUAGAGCUCGAUUGACUCAAGCUAGGGUGCUCCAUAAUUGCAAACAAAGACAUGGAUGGAUAGAGAAUAACAAGAUUAACAAAACUCCUUUACUGAUCAUCCUCAAAAGAGGCACGGAUCACUAGGAAACAAUACGAACAUAUGGCAUCAUGAACUAAAUAAUCCCAGACUUAGUGAAAACUACUAAGUCCCUGAAAACAGAUUUACCGGGUGCCUCACUUUGCAAGCUUGCACAAGUCACCACACACAUCCUAAAAAUGCAUGGGUUGCACCUCUGGAAAGAAGACAAAAUUCUUAACAAAACAUAUGAAGGACUCACAGGCAUAGCAUGCACACAAUAAUCAUGGCAAAAAUGACAAAAGUCUAAGAUGAACUAGCAGAUCUGACAAUUAACUCACAAAGGCUCCUUCUAACAGCAUUUCGGGCAUCAAGAUGAGCUCAAAUGAAAAUGAUGCAAUAGAAUGAAAUGAUGUACUCUCUGAGAUGAACAUUUUGAUAUGCUAUAUGCAUGAAUCGGAGCUACGGAUGCAAAGUUACGGAGCCGCGAACAGAGGUACUUGGAUCUGCAGAUUUCACGACUUAGACGAAAUUUAUACCCUGCAAAAGUCAACGGGACGAGGAUAUCCCGGGACGGAGGGAUCCGGGCGGCGGGGCUGCGUUUGGAUCGCUGAACCGGUGGAUCUGAUCCACCCGACCAGAUCGGACCCGGCCGGAGCUCCGGCGAGGCGAGGCCUCCGACGAGCGGCGGACGGCGGCCGGGGCGGCAGCGGCCGACGGCCGAGGCGGCGUCAGACGGCGGGCGGUGCGGGCGGUGCCGGUGACGCGGUGGCGGAGGCCGGAGAGCGGCAAGGCGGCGGGGAGAGCGGGUCGGCUCGGGCGGCGCGAAGCGGCGGCGGCGGCUGGCGUCGGGCGCGGGCGGCGGCGCGUGGAGGCGGCUCCACCGGGCGUCGGGGCGAGGCAAGAUGGGCACCGGGGGCCGGCCUUGGGCUCCCAGGCCGGCGGGGAUGUGGGGCGGAGGCGCGGCCAACGGGGCGGCGACACAUGGCGGCGGCGGGGUAAGUCGGACGUGUCCGGCGCCGUCGGACGUGUCCGACGGCGGCGUAUCUGAGAUUUUAGGGUUUCGGGGGAGGAGACCCGGGAUUUGGAAUGGGGGGUGUUUAAAUAGGCAUAGAGGGAGCUAGGAGAGUCCAAAUGAGAUGCGGUUUUCGGCCAUGCGAUCGUGAUCGAACGCUCUAGGACAUGGAGCAGAGUUUGGUGGGUUUUGGGCCAAAUUGGAGGGGUGUUGGGCUGCAACACUAAUGAGGCCUUUUCGGUCCCUCAGUUAACCGUUGGAGUAUCAAACGAAGUCCAAAUGAUACGAAACUUGACAGGCGGUCUACCGGUAGUAAAUCAAGGCCGCAUGGCAAGUCUCGGUCCAAUCCGGAAAUGUUUAAUCCCCACACACGAAAGAAAGCUAGAAAUGACCACUGGAGGAGAACAAAGCGCCGGAAUGCAAAACGGACAACGGGGAAAAAGCUCGAAUGCAUGAGAUGAACACGUAUGCAAAUGCAAUGCACAUGAUGACAUGAUAUGAGAUGCAUGACAACGAAAACAACACACAGAGACAAAGACCCGAACCUGAGAAAUAAAUAUAACUUAAUGCCGGAAACGGCAAGAGUUGGAGUACAAAUUGGGAAAGUUAUAUCCGGGGCGUUACAGAAGGCCUUCAUGGAGUUACUUGAUGUGGUGGAUACCGGGCUUGAGACUCCUGUCGGUUUCCGUCCUCACCGCAAUGCUACAUCCACCCACAAGCAAGCCCUUUGGCCCUACCGCACUGUGAAGGUUCACCCAGUCACUCAGAAGAAGACCUAUGAGCUGUCUCCGUAUCUGGACAUUCUUCAUCGCAUAUUCCGUGAGACUCUCUUCCCUCGGAUCGAGAAUCUGGAUAUGGUCCACUCUUACCUCGUGGACAUGCUCCUUUUCUAUCAGCAUGAGAAGGAAGCAAGCACUGGAGAGAGCCUGGAUAUCUCUCAUGUCAUGUGGUCUGAACUUCUAUCUGUCGUGUCUGAGCACAAGUGUCCUAUCUAUGGUCCAUUCAUCAUGAGGCUCAUUGAGAGGGCCUGGGCACAGACUUAUCCCAGAGUGCUGCUAGAGACUGGAGACUUGGUGUCUCAUGAGAUCAAGCGUCUGAGGAAGAAGGACAACUGGACAGCGCCUCACACAGGGGGUCCAUCUGCUACUGCUGCCAUAGGAGGUCCGUUUGUUGAUGCUGCUGCUGCUGCUAUUGCUGCCAUGGGGACCGAGGGUGAGGCUGCUACUGAUGAUCAUGAGGAGAACUUUGGCCCCUCUAGUGCAGAACCGUCGUGGGCACAGAAGCUUAAGCGCAAGAUGAAGAAGCUUUUCUGCAUGGAGUCUCAUGUUCAGUACAUGACUCGUGUGGCGGAGAAGCAUGCCAGGACGCACCACAAGGAGCUCAUGCGUCAGAUGGGAGCAACUGUUGUCAGUGGGUCUGAGGGUCUGAUCACUGGAGAGGAGGACUGGAUUCAUCAGAAUUGCCACCGGACCGACUCCGAUGCCGAGCAGUUUUCGACCCACGAUGAAGAUGCAGAGAUGUGAUGUUCGAGACCUUCCCCUCCCAUCACCUGGAGUCGUAGUGUCACUCUAUGCCCUUUUUGGUGUCUCGCUGCCAAAGGGGGAGAGAGAGUAGGGAUUUGCUUCUUGUGUCGUGCUUUGAGUCGUCUUGUGUUUUCUUGUGUGUUCCUUCUUUGGUUUGGUUUGGUGUGAGACCUAAGUCCUAGUCAUAUGGUGUAAGACAUAUGCUCCCUAUCGCUACCUUAUUACUUAUGUCACUUCAGAGUACUGUAGUUUAUAUUGAGAUGCAUGCUUGUCCUGUUUAUUCUCUUCUCUCAUAUAUCUUGUGCUUAGUGUUGUUGGACUAUAAAAUAUAGGAGGAGUGUUGAUCCGAAUGUGUGUGUCGUGCCUUAUCUUGGUGCACACAUUUUGGGGGAGCCCGUCUAUAUUUUGUAGUUCUUAGUUUUAUUCGUUUUAAUUCUUUUCCUUGCGCAAAUCCCUUGUUGUCAUCAAUCCACCAAAAAGGGGGAGAUUGUUACGGCAUAUCUCUCUCAAGGUAGUUUUGGUGAUUGAUGACAACAUGUUUGCGGACUAAUCUUGUGCGUUGAAUUAUUCUCAGAUUCUCCCCUGGCACGAGACGCUUUCUUCCCCUCGGAGUGUAUUUCAAGACGGUGUAGCUCUUUCAUUUCUUUCUAGGUGGACUAGUUGCGUAGAGGGCACCGUACUAUCAAGAGGGGGUCCGCUGGGGUUUUGCUUGGGUGGAAUCAUCACGUACACAUCAGCUUCUCACCCUUCGAGCUUUUCCUGUCCAUUGAAGAGAUCUCUCCUCUCUUCCUUGUUCUGUCUAGGUCUAAGCGGCAGUACCGCGCACCCAGCGGUAGUACCGCUGAGAAGCCACAAGCGGCAGUACCGCUUCGCAGCGGUAGUACCGCUGUGGCUCCACAGCAGUAGUACCGCUGGGGGCCUGGCACCUCCGCUGGUCCUCGGCUUAUUUGAGAGAUCCCUUCUCUCUCGCGCGCGCGCCCCAGCGGUAGUACGGCUGGGUAGUUUGGCUCCUACCGCCUCGAUUCGAGAGGUCUUUUUCUCGUGUGUAGUUUUGCGGCACUAGUCACGGUUGUAGUGGUGGUAGUAUCGUUCCAGGAGCGGUAGUACCGCCCUACCAUCGCGGUAGUACCGCAUUUGGGUCCGUUCCAUACUAAGUCUCCUCGGCGCGGCAGUAUCGCUGGUUGGCGUGGUAGUACCAUCGCCUGGCGGUAGUACCGCCCCCUCUCAGCUGUAGUACCGCCCUGUGCGGGGCUGGUUGGUGGGGGGCAACGGGAUUGUUGCCCCCACUAUAAAAGGGAGUCCCCUUCCUCCUUCUCACCUACCUCUUCCUCCCCCAAGCUCCAUUUAUUGCUCAAGCUCCAUUAAAUACUCCAAGCUUCAUUUCCGCCCGAUCUAUCUCUCUAGCCAAUCAAAUUUGUUGAUUUGCUCGGGAGUGGUUGAGAAGGCCCCGAUCUACACUUCCACCAAGGGAUUUUCGAUUCCCCCACUCAUUCCUAGUGGAUCUUGUUACUCUUGGGUGUUUGAGCACCCUAGACGGUUGAGGUCACCUUGGAGCCAUAUUCCAUUGUGGUGAAGCUUCGUGGUCUUGUUGGGAGCCUCCGAUUAAGUAGUGGAGAUUGCCCCAACCUUGUUUGUAAAGGUUCGGUCGCCGCCUUCAAGGGCACCAAUAGUGGAAUCACGGUAUCUCGCAUUGUGUGAGGGCGUGAGGAGAAUACGGUGGCCCUAGUGGCUUCUUGGGGAGCAUUGUGCCUCCACACCGCUCCAAUGGAGAUGUACUUCCCCUCAAAGGAAGGAACUUCGGUAACACAUCCUCGUCUCCACCGGAUCCACUCUUGGUUAUCUCUUACAUUUACUUGUGCAAGCUCUUUAUUGUUUCUACCCUUGCUUGCUUGUAUGCUUGUUGUUAUUGCAUCAUAUAGGCUGCUCACCUAGUUGCACAUCUAGACAACCUACUUUGAUGCAAAGUUUAAUUUGGUAAAUAAAAGCUAAAAAUUGGUAGUUGCCUAUUCACCCCCCCCCCCUCUAGUCAACCAUAUCGAUCCUUUCAGCUGUGAAGGAGGUGGCUCAUGCCAGGAAGAGCUCCCUGGCUGUGAAGGAUGAGGUUCUACACGGUGCACAGAGGGUCGUGGUUCUGAACGGUGCACAGAGGGUCGUGGUUCUGAAUGUUGUACAGAGGGACGUGGCAGACGAUGUGCUGGAGGAGGAAGUUCAACAUCCGAAGUCCUUCUACACAUAACAGCUGCGUAAAUCCCGCGUAGCUUGUCAUCAAGACGCCUCAACCAUGAGACGCCCUCUCGCGGUGGUAUAGUUUCUCCCCUCUGAAAGCGCCGCAUUAAAGCGGAAACCUCCUUUGCGCCUGUACUGUCAAGUCACCCUGUACACAAAGAGUUAACCAAUUAUAUCCUCGUUGUAUGAUAGACACCACGAAUAGACAACCAAGCGAAUAUGUCUAGAUUAACAAAAGACUUAACAUAUGAGAACCAAGGCAUUUACCGCGUGGUGUCUGGUUCCCACAAUAGAGGCAGUUGGGUACAUAUCGCUGGUGAGAGGGGCUUCGAUCUUAUCAGGAGCAGAUGAUGGAACCAAGUAGAUCCUCGUUGUAUGCCGGUAACGUUGCAGAUACAACCUGAACAUUUCCCAGUUAAAGGGCCGAACCUCACCCCAGAUAUUUGUCGCAGCGGUAGUCCAUUCAUCAACGUAAGGGGUAAUGCUCUUAAGCCAAUAAGCCAUGUACUUGUUUCUUCCUAGGCGACUAUCCCUGAGAUUGACAUGCGCAAUACAUGAUUAGGUAUAUUAUGAAUGCAGAGCUGACAACUAAAAUAGUAUUAGUACUUACUUGUGCACGUGUUCUGGCAAGUGUGGAAUAUCUGGAAUCUUGGGCUCUUCAUAUAGACCGAACUGUCUCAUCACCCUAUGAAGAGACAUCUCCUCAACCGUCACGUCGAACACCAACUUGGCCUUGGUCAUCCAAAAGUGCCGAUCUCUAGUGCACAAUCCAGAAAAUCUCAACUGGGUACCUCGAUGAUAUAGCCUGAGGCGAGUAUGGCUCCCAAAUAACUUGAUCCUCGUGCAAACUAUCAAACUGCGCCAUGAAGGACGGGUAGCAUCCCCUAACCUGAGUAUGCGCAAACUGUCUCUGUGCAUGACAACAAAUAAGCAUUAGUAAUACUAUUGAAUGGCAAGAAAUAAUUGAAUUAAUUGUUACUUAAUAUAAAAGUACCCCUCGCCGUGUCCAAACAGAUCCCAUAGUAGGUAAGUCGCCGAUAGCAGGCACAUAAGUCCCAGCUAAGUCCUUCAAACCAAAAGGUUUAUCAACGUAGACAUAGGGUCAUCCAAUAGGGAAUCUCUCGUAUGACCAGAGCUACAACAAUAAUGGACAUCCAACAAGACUAGAUUUUCUAGACUUCAACAAGCAAGCUUUGCACAGGCCUCUGUACGUAGCCGCUAACACAGCAGAACCAAAACUCCUUUGUAGAAUAUUCACAGGGCAACGUGCAUCAGCUAUCUCUCGUGCAAUACCGAUGAGUCGUGCAUCGACAGUGGUCAAGUGGUUCUCCGUAAACAUCAUCUUGCCGAACAGCCAAAGAAUAUAUGCCUCUAGGGACCGGUCAAUCUGUGCCUCCGACAACUGAACGUUGGGAUAUCCUAACGAGACAAUCUACAUAGAAACGUAAUAAUUGUAUGAACAUCGGACAACUAAAAAACAACAUUUGUUUAAGUGGCCGUGAUGGUUACCUGAAACUGGCUCAACCAUCUAAAAAGAGGUCCAUGAGGAUCAUUGUCUAUGGCCCUAGCAGUCGGGACCGCAGCCAAAAAACGGGUCUGCAUCGCUGCUUGCCACCCAGAUUCUGCCUCUAAGGGACCUAUGGCAGCACCGGCCAGAGGUAAUCCCAACAAGUAAGACACAUCCUGUAAAGUAGGCGCCAUCUCUCCCCAGGGAAAGUGAAACAUAUGUGUCUCUGGUCUCCAUCUAUCUACUAAGCAGGUAAGGAGUGACUUGUCGUAAGAGAAACGUUUCACUUGCCUCUUGUGUAACUGCAAUGGUUCACCUGCCUCAUCUAAGUCCGGACCAUCAAUCCACUCAUCCAAUGUACCCUCAACCAAUCGUGCCGAGGGUAGAAGUCCAGCCCAACUUAACCUACAAAAUAAAGAGAUUGUUAGAGGUUAUGAAAAGUAUGUCAAACAUAGUAAGUCAUUAUAUGGACUCCAUUAUAUGCACACAUACCUAUCAACCCAUGAAUCGUGUAUCAGCCAGUUAGUCUUUGGGGUACGAGUGACCAACACGUCUAAGUUGUUGCCCGCUUCCGUAAGGGCGCUCCGGUGCUUUCUAUCGAUGUUACCAUUAAGCAACGGAUACGAAGACAUAUCUGCAAUUUAAACAACAAAUCUCAUAUGCAAAUAAAACAUAGUACAACAUAUUACAAAUUAUAACAUAGUCCUGACAUAUUACGAAUUAAAACAUAGUCCUAACAUAUUACAUAUUAAAACAUAGUCCUGACAUAUUACAAAUUAAAACAUAGUCCUGACAUAUUACAAAUUAAAACAUAGUCCUGACAUAUUACAAAUUAAAACAUAGUCCUGACAUAUUACAUAUUAAAACAUAGUCCUGACAUAUUACAUAUUAAAACCCACUACGACACAUUAUAUAGCUUGUGAGUUAUUUCUUCCUCGUUCUCCCCUUCGGCCUCGACUGCCACGACCAUGUCCACCUCUUUCUUCUGUUGUCGCAGCCGUCGAUGUGGAAGCACUCGUCGAUGCGAAAGCACCAUCUUUGUUCAGGUCGGGACAAUAUUUCAUCCUAUGCCCAUAAGCCGCGCAUAACAAACAUUGUCUGGUUGCUCCACCAGCUUCAGACUGGUCCAUAUCGUUCCGGAUGCGACGGGCCUUUCGUCUGCCCCUACUUGUUCGCCGAAGGUCUGGAUGCGGGAUGUAUACUCUCUCACCGUCGUUUACCUUGUUGAAAUUGCCGACGACUCUAAACCCUGUCAUCUCGCCUGUCCAGGUGUUGAGCACUGCCUCUUUUAAAUAGUAUGGGGACACGAAGGAUAUAGCAUCCAACUCAAUCUGGCCACAGGCAGCCAACACAUGAGAGCAAGGUAGGUGCAACAACUUCGGUUUGUUGCAUGUACACUCACACGUUGGAUAAAAUUCCGUUCCAAUUUUUACCUCGUGUGUCUUCACCUCAUUUCCAGAACCAAAACCAUCGGUAGGAAGCUGAACCUCAUACCUCCUUUCUUGAUUCCCUAUGAGUCUGACAGUGUGCUUCUUUGCUUUCUCUAUCUUCUUUGCCAUGUAUUCCAUGACACGGCUACAAUAAGGUGUGUUCUGAUUAUCUUCAAUAUGCUUCUUUGCUAACUCGUGCCUUUCUCUAAAAUAUCUCAAAGUGCCAUGGAAUACAGCCUCCACAAUUGCUGUGAGUGGCAAUGCUCUAUUCCCUCUCAGCACAAAGUUAUACACCUCUGCAAGAUUGGUUGUCAUGUGGCCAUACCUAGCUCCAUGUGUGUCAUGCAGCAAAGACCAAUUCAUUGGAGGCUCUUUCUCUAUCCACUCAGAAAAAUUCUUUAUUGCCCUUCCCUUCUUUCUCUUAGUAUUAGGAGGGUCAAUUGCUGGCAAGUCACAAAGACCUACUGGCUCCUCUAGCUCCGUGAUGAGUGCUGCUAAUUUAACCUGGUCUUCUUCCAUUUUCUUCCUCGCACGGACUUGCUUCUUAGUAAACUCAUCUAGUUUUGACCAAAUAAAUUCGUAUUUGCGCUGCUGGCUCUGGUUGCAUAAUUUUUUGAACAAGUUCAUCAACCGCUUGUUCUUGAACUGUGAGAAAAAAUUAGCCCCAAGAUGGCGCAUGCACCACUGGCUCUGCAAGUCCCUCCAAGGUGUUGGUUCAUCAUCUGUUGGAUUACAAAGUGUCUUCACGGCCUUCAAUAUACCAGCAUGUCUGUCAUGAAUGACACACACGUUUGGUCGGUCCUUCACGAUGGCAAUUUUCACUUGGCGGAAGAACCAUAACAAGCUGAGAAAGUUCUCACCCUCCACAAAUGCCAUGGCAAAUGGGAUGAUUUGAUUGUUCCCGUCCACACCAAUAGCGGUCAUGAUUUGCCCUCUAUACUGACCGGUCAGGAAUGUACCAUCCACAAACAUAACAGGAGGAUAAUGUUGGAAAGUUUCAAUGCACAUAGCAAAAGAGAAGAACACUCGUUUCAACACCUUGAAAUCUAGUAUACUCAGUAACCUCAUGUGUUGUACGUUCACAUAAGUGUCGGGAUUCCUCUCCUCUAGUAUGCCCAGGAGACGGACAACAUUAUCAUAUGAGUCGAAGAACGUCCCAAACCUUUCCUCCAUAGCCUUCUGCUUAGCCCUCCAAGCCUUCCCAUAAGGAAUGACAUAAUUCCAUCUGACCUUCACUGCUGUCUGGAUGUGUUUUGCUUUCAUAUCUUUCUUCUCUAUUAUCUCAGUAUACAUGAGUUGCACAAUAAGACUUGAAGUCGGGUUCGGAUGCUUCACCAGCAGGUUCUUUCUCACACAAUUAUGUGGGACGAUAAUGGUGACAACCCAGUGGAUGUCAUACUUCGGCACGUGCCCGUGCACCUUCCCAAGACAACCUGUUACAACACAUUUCACGAUAUAGUUUGCUGGACUUGAUAUGUGUGUCCGAAAAACCCUCUGCGUAGACAUAGCCCACUUUAUCACCGCAUACUUCAUUUUUUUCUUUGUAUCAAACAUAGCCCCUAUAUGUACUUGGUUCAGAUUAUACUGCCAUGGAGUCUCAUGGCCAUCGUUGACCGUAAGGCCGAUGGAUAUGUCCUGCUCCCAUGCAGAAGGAAUCGGUACCUCCACUUCAUCCUCAGAAUUUUCAGAAUCCAGUUCCUCCACCAAUCCAUCCUCGUCCUCUUCCUCCAUCAGCCUCUGCAUUUCAUCCCCUUCCUCAUCCCCAUCAGCAAUACCAAAACCAGCUAAUAUUAUCGACUGGCUACUCUGCCCAGUAUCAGGACCACAAACAUUGUGUGGCACGUAGUCUGACUCUUUCUCAGGUUGGCUAGCAUCCACAUCUUGUGACUGUGAUCCGGAUAAAACAAUCUCGUUAGCCACUUCACUGCCUUGGCCGGGUUCAUACCCCCUGUGGAGUUGUAUGGUAUUCUCCUCCUUCGGCAUAGGUUGCACAAGUGCAUAUGGGUGGAUUCUUCAGUCUCGGCACCGUCUUAACAAGGGCAACCAAUGCUGGCUCCUAUCUACCGGCAUCAACUCCCACUUGACAUUUUUACAAGAUUUGGUCCACAAUGCAUGAAUACUGACGGAACAUACUUCAGGAUCCAGCCCGAAACUAGUUGUCAACCAGUACUUCAAUUGUCUAAUGUCCAGUCUGUCCGGGUCUGCUAGUGUCAUGACUCCAUUUUUAAACUCGCUAAGAUCAACCCCCAACUCAUUAUAUCGAACAUUACCAGUGCCGUAGUAAACAUUCAGAUUUACUGAUUCGGAUAUUUUCACCUGUCAGACAUUGCCAUCUUCUCAUUAAUCACAACGAACACUAAUAUUAUCCGCUACACUAACUAAAAUCCGCUAAAAUGCCACCACAUACAAAUUAACACUAACACAAUUUUUAUUAUCCGCUAAACUAACACAAUCAUUAUUAUUCUGCUACACUAACACAAUUAUUACUCCGCUAAAAUGCCACCACAUACAAAUUAACACUACAAUUCGCAAUAUAAUUUAUCUACGCUAACUAAACUAUGCAACUCAGAGAAAAUUUGUGAGGAGAUGAUUAUACCUUAGCGGAGGUGCUUGCACCACUGAACAACGACAGCACCACCGCCGCCCCCUCGACGACCGGAGGUUCAACUCCAGUCACCCCCAAGCCGCACCUCCUCCUCCACAGCUGCUGCUCCUCAUCAACACCUCCUGCCCAACCGCAUCUCCUCCUCCCCACCAUGGCUCCUCCUCCCCACCAUGUCUACUCCUCCCCAAACGCACAGAAAACUAUCCCAUAGCAAAAAAAACACCGUAGGCCAUUUGAGAUUGCUACGAUCUACCGAUUCAGUGGCUUAGAUGUGAAAAUGGGUGGCAAACGGAGGAGAUCAGCUAGGGAUGGUGAGGUACAGAGAAGAAACGAGAGAGAGAAAGAAGAACAGAGGCGAACAGGCGAGAGGAAGGAGACGCCGCGCGGUGCCUUAUCCGGCGCUUUUCGGUCAAUGCGUGGCUGAAAAGUACUUCGGCCGCUGCCUGGCCGAAAAGGCCCACUUCGGUCGGUCCCAGGCCGAAGCUACUAUUUUCAGCCAUACUUCCACCGACACUCGAUUUUCGGCCCAGCUAGGCGUAUCUUCGGUCAACCGCGGGCCGAAAAGCCCAUUUCGGCCAAGCUGCGACCGAAAAGUGCCACUUCGGCCAACACCUGCCCGACGGGCUACUAGUUUUGGUUUUUUUGCAUUACGUGCUAUAGUUCUCGAAAAUGCUAUAUAAUAUAUCAUAGUUUUGAAAAAAAAUUAUAAUUAACUGGCAUGGAAAUCUUUUCUUCUUCUUCUUCUUCUUCUUCUUCUUCUUCUUCUUCUUCUUCUUCUUCUUCUUCUUCUUCUUCUUCUUCUUCUUCUUCUUCUUCUUCUUUGAAUUUGACCGGGGCCAUGUGUCAGCGUCGUACUGUCAGGUAGGUUCAUGAGCGGACCAGCUCCUCAGGUCUAUACACUUGUGCCUCUCCCAGCUGCCUCGUGGCGCCCAGACCCUUCGAGAGAAAACAAGCAUGGCCGAUUCCUACAAACAAAAACUCGGCAAUCUCUCCACCGCUUCUCUCAGAAGGCCAGAACCCAGCAAAGCACUUGCCCUGUUUCGGCGCGCUGCUUCAGGAAGCGAGUGUUGAUCACACAGGCCCGAGGCAAGAUGGCGCGCAGGCCGGGGGCGGAGGAGGAGAGGCCGUGGGGGCUGGCUGAACACGGGAGGCUGGGGAAACGGAAGGUGGUGGGCGUGGUGGUGCUGGACGGAUGGGGCGAGGCGCCGCCCGACCCCUUCAACUGCAUCCACGUCGCCGACACCCCCACCCUCGACGCCCUCAAGAAGGUACCUGCGUCUCUCUUCUCUUCUCUCACGCUGCUUCAUCGGUUCCGGUUCGGUUCCUACAUGCGGAUGGAGAUCCUUUGCUUGUGUGGUUGCAUGGCAUGGCAGGGUGCUCCGGAGAGGUGGAGGCUGAUCAAAGCUCACGGCACGGCCGUGGGGCUGCCUACGGAUGAUGACAUGGGGAACAGCGAGGUCGGCCACAAUGCGCUUGGAGCCGGCCAGAUAUAUGCCCAGGGGUAAUGCUCCCAAUGCUACAUCCACGGCCAAUUAAGGGCUCCUUUGAUUCAAAGGAUUUGCAUAGAAAUUUUGAAGGAUUGGUAUCCUUAGGAAUUUUUUCUAUGUUGAUUGUUUGAUUCAUAGGAUUGAAUCCUAUAGGAUUUUUUUCCAAAGGAAUUUUUUGUACUACUUCUCAUAGGAUUUCUAGCAUCCACUCAAACCUCUUUAAAAGAAUCCUUUGUUUUUCCUAUGAUGCUCAAACAACCUAAAACCCUAUAGGAUUGAGAUGAGCAUGACAUUCCAAUCCUAUGUUUUUCCUAUUCCCAUGUUUUUAUAAUCCUGCAAAUCAAAGAGGCCCUAAGUAUGGUUUGCGGGGGUUGAGAUCCUCUACAGUACUGUACGGUGCUGUAGUGCGGAUGACAUAUGGGGCCGGGUCCACACGGCAAUGAUAGUACUGCAUCAUACAGUACUGCAGACGAUCCUAGCCCGGUUUAUGGGGGAUUGGCCAGUUGGCAAUUUUUGAUUGGAGGUAAGAGGGGAGGCCGGCCCCACCCCUGUUGAAUUUUUUUUGGGGGGGGGAGAGGAUUAGGAGGAAGGUUACGUAACAUCUUUCGUAGGUGUAGUAUUAUUGCUAGUACAACUUCCGUCCGGAAUUAACUGUCUCUGAAAUGAGUGUUAUGAGUGUAUCUACAUGUGUUUCGGUGUGUAGAUACGUUACAGUUAAUUUCGGACAGAGUGAGUACUAGAAUAAUAAGAUUUGCAGUGUGUUAUGAAAAAUUUGUGGAAGCCAUAUAAGGACACUUGUUUAUUUAUCUCUUAAAGGUGGCUAUCUUACUCCUUAGGACCUCUUUGAUUCAAAGGUUUUUCAUAGGUGUUUUAAGGAAUUUCACUCUUUAGGAUUGUUUAUUGAAAUUUCUAUUUGCGAGUUAUUUAUUGCCAAAGAGGAGUCGGGUGCUACUUAUUUCCAAAGAGAGUCGGGGAGUACUCGCCUCGGGAGAAUACACAUGAGAUUUGUAGGAAUUUCCCUACGUGGGUUGUUUGAUUUGUAGUAGUAUUGAAUCCUAUCAAGCAUUUUCUCAGUGAUUUCCUCGCGUAACAUUUCAAAGAAAAUUUUAUGUUUGCUCAAACCUCUUGGAAAGAAUCCUUUAUUUUCUUACAAUACAAUCGAUCAUUUUUUGGUACACAUUCAUUCGUGUAUGAUUCGAGUGGGCCUGUGUUAUGACCGGCUUGGUCUAUUCUAGGAAGAGGCCCACCGGGCAUUAGUAUUAGGGGCUUGGCCCGCAAGUUAUCUUAGUCAAGUUAUCUUAGGAAAGUUAUCUUAGGCUAAAGUUAUAAACUCAUGUAAGGCAUCGUUUUGAGGCAAGCAAUAAAGACUAUUAUUAUCUUUUGUUGCCCGGCUUCUAGAGGAGCCAGAAACCCUAGCCGCCGCAGCCAAGCCGCCGCAGCCCUCAACCCUAGCCGCGACGGCGCCCUGCCGCCGGCGCACCCGUUCCUCGCCGCGUCCACUCCCUCCUUCCCCCUACAACCUUCGCAGUAGAGCCGGUAGGAACCCUACUCCUACCAAUUUGGUAUCCCUAGGAUCACAGUGGCGAACGGCGAUCGCCUCCGGUGUCAUGGGCUAGCCCGCGACGUUCCCAUCUCCAUCGGCGGUGAACACUUUUCCAUCACCUGUGCUGGGAUCGAUAUGGGCUGUUUCGACUUCAUCCUCGGGGUGGACUUUCUCCGGACCCUCGGCCCCAUCCUGUGGGAUUUCGACGCGCUCACGAUGACAUUCUGGCGGCAGGGCCGCCGCAUCCGGUGGGAGGGCAUUGGGGGCGCCGCGCCUGCCGUGCCACACCUCCAGCUGGCUGCCGCGUCCUCGGAGGCCGAGCACCCCCUGCUGGAUUCUCUUCUGCAGCAGCACAGCGACCUCUUCGACGAUCCGCGGGGUCUUCCGCCUGCCCGGGUGUACGACCAUCAUAUUCACCUCGUACCAGGCUCCACUCCGGUGGCGGUGCGACCCUACCGCUACCCCCAGCUGCAGAAGGAUGAGUUGGAGCGCCAGUGUGCCCUGAUGCUCGCCGCAGGCAUCAUCCGGAUCUCCACGUCGCCCUUCACGGCGCCGGUGCUUCUCGUCCGUAAGUCAGACGGCACAUGGCGCUUCUGCAUCGACUACCGCGCCCUCAACGCACUCACGCUCAAGGACAAGUUCCCUAUACCGGUGGUCGACGAGCUCUUGGAUGAGCUCCAUGGGGCACGCUUCUUCACCAAGCUCGAUCUCCGGUCGGGCUAUCAUCAGGUGCGCAUGCAUCCGGACGACAUCGCCAAGACGGUGUUUCGCACCCACCAUGGCCACUUCGAGUUCUUGGUGAUGCCUUUCGGCCUCGCCAACGCCCCGGCGAUGUUCCAGGCCCUGAUGAACGACGUCCUUCGACCCUACUUACGGCGGUUUGUGCUUGUUUUCUUUGAUGACAUCCUUAUCUACAGCGCCACCUGGGACGAACAUCUCCAGCACGUCGCCAUCGUCUUCAACGAGCUUCGGGCGCACCACCUCCACCUUAAGCGCUCGAAGUGCUCGUUCGGGACGCCUACCGUCGCCUACCUCAGCCAUGUCAUCUCGGCCGACGGGGUGGCUAUGGACGCCGAUAAGGUGGCGGCCGUCUCCGCCUGGCCGACGCCUCACUCGCCGCGGGCUCUCCGCGGGUUCCUCGGACUCGUCGGCUACUACCGGAAAUUUAUCCGGGAGUUCGGACUCAUCGCGGCGCCCCUCACGCGAUUGCUUCGCCGCGACGCCUUCGCCUGGGACGACGAGGCGAUGACGGCGUUCGAGGCCCUCAAGGGGGCCCUCACGACGGGCCCCGUCCUCCAGAUGCCCGACUUCGACUGGCCGUUCGUGGUGGACUAUGACGCCUCGGGCGCCGGGUUCGGCGCCGUACUUCAUCAGGGCGAUGAGCCCCUCGCUUUCUUCAGCCGGCCUUUCGCUCCGAGCCAUCUUAAGUUGGCAGCCUACGAGCGGGAGCUCAUUGGCCUCGUCCAGGCCGUACGUCAUUGGCGGCCAUAGUUGUGGGGGCGGACCUUCCACAUUCGCACGGACCACUACAGCCUGAAGUUCUUGCUGGAUCAACGGCUGUCGACCGUCCCGCAGCACCAGUGGAUCACCAAGCUCUUCGGCUUUGACUUCUCCGUCGAGUAUCGGCCGGGCCGUCUUAACACCGUGGCCGACGCGCUGUCCCGUCGCGAUUCCGACCUCGCGCCAUCCGCCGACGCGUCCGCUGGGACGGCCUUGUGCAUCCGCUCCGGGCCAUCGUUCGGUCUCUUCACCGACAUUCGACGCGCCACUGCGACGGCAAAUGACGCCGCACUUCUUCAGCAGCAGCUCGCGGCCGGCGACUUGGAGGAGCCCUGGUGCUUCUCUGACGGACUGCUCCUCCAUGGGCGCCGGAUCUUUGUUCCAGCGCAUGAUGAUCUCCGUCACCAGGUGUUGUAGCUCGCCCACUCGGCGGGCCAUGAGGGUGUGCAGAAAACCCUCCAUCAUCUUCGCGCCGACUUCUACAUUCCUGGCGAUCGUGCCCUGGUCCGCGACUGGGUUCGGUCUUGUCAGACUUGCCAGUGCAACAAGACAGAGACCCUGAGGCCGGCGGGGCUCCUUCAGCCCUUGGAGGUGCCGUCUCAGGUUUGGGCGGAUAUCUCCUUGGACUUCAUCGAGGGCCUUCCCAAGGUGGGGGGCAAGUCAGUCAUCCUCACGGUGGUCGAUCGCUUCUCUAAGUACGCCCACUUCAUCGCGCUGGGCCAUCCAUACACGGCGGCAUCCGUGGCCCGGGCCUUCUUCGACGGCAUAGUCCGUCUACACGGGUUCCCGACGUCGAUCGUCAGUGAUCGGGACCCAGUCUUCACGGGCCAUGUCUGGCGCGACCUCUUCAGGAUGGCGGGUGUCCAGCUCCGCCUGAGUACGGCGUUCCAUCCUCAGACGGACGGUCAGUCUGAGGUGGUUAACAAGGUCAUUGCCAUGUAUUUGCGUUGUGUGACAGGUGAUCGGCCUCGCGCUUGGGUGGACUGGCUCUCUUGGGCGGAGUACUGCUACAACACUUCGUAUCACUCCGCCCUGCGCGCGACGCCAUUUGAGGUGGUCUAUGGUCGACCACCCCCGCCUAUACUUCCGGUCGACCCGGAGACGGCUCGGACGGCGGUUGCGGGUGACCUUAUCCGCACCCGUGAUGAGAUGCUGGCUGAGGUCCGUCAGCGUCUCCUUCAGGCCCAGCAGACGGCCAAGCACUACUAUGACGAUCAUCAUCGCGAGGCGGAGUUCGCAGUGGGUGACUGGGUGUGGCUGCGUCUUCUCCACCGCUCUACGCAGUCACUGGACCCGCGCGCGAAGCGCAAGCUUGGCCCUCGCUACGCCGGGCCCUUCCCUGUCGUGGAGCGCAUUGGGAAGGUGGCCUAUCGUCUUCAGCUUCCAGCCCGCGCCCGCAUCCACGACGUGUUCCAUGUGGGGCUGCUCAAGCCUUUUCAUGGGAGCCAUCGGCGGCUCCUCCGGCACUUCCUCCAACCGCCGAUGGUCGCAUUCUUCCAGAGCCAGCAAAGGUGUUGCAGGCCCAGCUCCGUCGUGGCGUCUGGUUCGUCCUAAUUCAGUGGGCGGGCCUUCCGGAGGAGGAGGCUACUUGGGAGCAGCGUGAAGAUUUCCGUCAACACUAUCCAGACUUUCAGCUCGAGGACGAGCUGUUUGCGCAGGCGGGGAGAGAUGUUAUGACCGGCUUGGUCUAUUCUAGGAAGAGGCCCACCGGGCAUUAGUAUUAGGGGCUUGGCCCACAAGUUAUCUUAGGCAAGUUAUCUUAGGCUAAAGUUAUAAAUACUCAUGUAAGGCAUCGUUUUGAGGCAAGCAAUAAAGACUAUUAUUAUCUUUUGUUGCCCGGCUUCUAGAGGAGCCGGAAACCCUAGCCGCCGCAGCCAAGCCGCCGCCGCCCUCAACCCUAGCCGCGACGGCGCCCUGCCGCCGGCGCGCCCGUUCCUCGCCGCGUCCACUCCCUCCUUGCCCCUACAACCUUCGCAGUAGAGCCGGUAGGAACCCUAGUCCUACCAGCCUGACAUUUCAAUUUUGUGUUCUUUUUCUACUACUUUGUUUUUGGGAUCUUCCUAAUUGUUAUCAAAGCCAGUGACACUAUAGUAGUAAUAGUGAUAAUAAACUAUGUAAAAGGGAUACUUACUAUGCUAGUAAUAAUUAUAAUAAACACUUUGUAAAGAAAUUUGAAUACACUAUGCGUUGUGUGUGUAGGUUUGUUGCCGACUUUAGUCAUUUUAGAUAUUGAACUUGUAUGUUGGCUUUCUAUGCUGGUAUAAUGUAUGAACAAAUGGAGGCAUGUGACCUAGUGGUCGUUCAUAUACACCUUGGUUUAAUCCUUGCGAUUGACAUUGUAACCGUACUUGUUCCGGUUACUCGGGCGGGACAAAAUGUGAUGGUGUUAAGUAGGCGAGGGAGUGUGCGGGUCUGCGUGCUUUGCGAUGGUGUGUGCGGGUUAGUGCUAGCAUAAGGACAACAGUCAUGUAUGACCAAAGCGACCAAGUUAAUUUCAGUACAACUACCUUGGUGAAGCUACUUAUUAAGCAAAAGUUAGUGAUCAUUUGUGCACAACGUGCAGUGCAAAACUGGUGGAUUUGGCGCUUGACUCUGGGAAGAUAUAUGAGGGGGAGGGUUUUAAGUACAUCCAGCAGUCUUUUGACACCGGUACUUUGCACCUCAUUGGUUUGCUGAGCGAUGGGGGCGUGCAUUCAAGGAUCGAUCAGCUGCAGGUUACACCAUUUUUCUUCUAAGCAGAGUUCAUUCUGCAGUGUAGUUCCAGGCUGAUGUGAAUGAUUUGGCUGUGGCAGCUGCUUCUGAAGGGGGCUAGUGAACAUGGAGCGAAGAGGAUACGGGUUCAUAUCCUUACCGACGGUCGCGACGUAUUGGAUGGAAGCAGUGUCACAUUCGUGGAAACGCUUGAGAAUGAUCUGGCUAAGCUACAGGAGAAGGGUGUUGAUGCAAGGAUUGCAUCUGGUGGAGGCAGGAUGUAUGUUACAAUGGACCGCUAUGAGGUGAUCUCUCCUAUCCUAUCCUACUUCAAAAAAUUGUGUGUUUCUUCAGGGAUGUACCCUGCAGCAGCAAUACUGCAAUUAUAACUUCUUUUUUGCGAGAUACUGCAGUUAUAACUUUGUAUUUCUUGUUGUUAUGCAGAAUGAUUGGCAAGUUGUGAAGCGUGGCUGGGAUGCCCAGGUUCUUGGUGAAGCCCCACACAAGUUUCCAAGUGCCCUUGAAGCCGUGAAGAAGCUGAGGGAUGAUGAUCCCAAGGCCAACGACCAGUAUUUACCCCCGUUCGUCGUCGUCGAUGAAAGCGGAAAACCUGUUGGGCCCAUAGUGGAUGGAGACGCUGUUGUGACAUUUAACUUCAGAGCUGAUCGAAUGGUGAUGCUCGCAAAGGCGCUAGAGUACGAGGACUUGGACAAAUUCGACCGUGUCAGAUUCCCGAGGAUUCGCUACGCCGGUAUGCUUCAGUAUGACGGCGAACUAAAGCUCCCAAGUCAUUACCUUGUUGCUCCCCCGGAGAUAGAGAGGACGUCCGGCGAGUACCUGGCGCACAAUGGCGUACGCACCUACGCUUGCAGGUACAUACUUUUGUGCUGUAUAAAGAGCUUCUAUCUCUGAACAUUCUGGUACUUGAGCAUGUCUUGUGGUUUUGACCUGUAGCGAGACAGUGAAAUUUGGUCAUGUCACCUUUUUCUGGAACGGGAAUCGGUCGGGCUACUUCAACCCAAACCUGGAAAGGUACGAAGAAAUUCCCAGUGACACUGGUAUACCCUUUAAUGUACAGCCAAGAAUGAAGGCCGUGGAAGUUGCAGAGAAGGCACGGGAUGCCAUCCUCAGUGGCAAAUUUGAUCAGGUACUUGGCACAAUGAGAUCCUCCUCAAGCAUAAAUCCAUGCAUAUGCAUAUGCAUGUGCAAGUAGACAAAUGAGAUACUCAUUUGUAACUGUUAAUUGGCAACUACGGUGAGUAGUAAAACAGAGUGAUGUGGUGGUUUUGUAGGUACGGGUAAACAUCCCGAAUGCAGACAUGGUUGGGCACACAGGUGACCUUGAAGCCACCAUCGCUGGGUGCAAGGCCGCUGAUGAAGCCGUCAAGAUUAUUCUUGACGCCAUUGAACAAGUAGGUGGCAUCUUCGUGGUCACCGCUGACCAUGGCAAUGCCGAGGACAUGGUGAAAAGAGACAAAUCCGGGAAACCGAUUCGCGACAAAGACGGGAAUGUGCAGCCCCUUACCUCACACACACUGAAUCCAGUGAGUGCACAUUUCAUCAUCAGACGCCCGGUGCUAUGUAUAUCUAUAUGCACGAGCACGACUGAGUGUCCCGUUCUCAUCGUCUUACUGAACCCGGCUGCAGGUCCCCAUCGCCAUCGGAGGUCCAGGGCUUGCGCCAGGGGCUACAUUCCGGGAGGACCUUCCGGAUGCCGGGCUCGCUAACGUCGCGGCGACACUCAUCAACCUCCAUGGUUUCGAGGCCCCUCGUCACUAUGAGCCAACUCUCAUCCAAGUCUCGCCGGUUCCCUUCUGAAUCCGUCAUCUGCCGUUCCCCUUCCCUUUCUGUGAUUGGCGCAGCCAUGCUUAUGUCUACCUAGUAAAUAAAUGUCCACCCAUGUACCACCAUUUUCUUUCUUUCUUUGAAUUGAUGUCCACUUCUGUUUCUGAAUCCGUCCGUGUGUGGUGAUACCGUACCCAUAUGUAGUAGGAGUAUCUAUUUUGUGCCUCUUUUUCCUGGGUUUAGGUUUGUUGGGAGAGCGCUUCUGACCUUUGUAAUCAUGCAGCGUUUUCAGGAUGAUUGCUUGGCACGCUCCAAAUUCAGUGAGAAUUAAUUUUUUACGCCAAAUACGUAGCUAAAUGAGAACUUGGAACAAGAAGUCGCCUUCAGAGUUUUAGCUUUAAAAAUCCCAGAGGUUCGCGACACCAACAGUAGAUCAUCAAUCAGUUCUAGUCAAGCUGCCUGAUAUAACCAACUAGCUGGAUGCAGUUAAAUCUGUUUUUUUUUUUUUUUUGCAGCAGUCAUCAGUCAAGAUCACCCGCAAAAAAGAAAAAUAGUAGUACCAGUCAAGAUAACAUACCGGUCAUCUAAAACAACUCAGAAAAAUACUUAAAAGAUGUACAGCAAGACAUGAGCAAAGUAAUGAUAUGCGGACCGCUAAGGAGAAGCUAAUAUCGAAGAGCAGGAAAGCAGAACCGGACACAAACAACCUGGCUCCGUUCUCAACAAUCAGUCACCUCAAUCCAUUUUUACAUCUAACGUAUAACAACGCAUGCUAUCUAUCGAAGCUUUGACUCGUUGGUUUUGCUGCUCCGGAAGUUUGAGAGGGAGAAGAAUGACCUUGAUGCUGCUGCAAGUACAAAGAGGCACAAACAAAUGUAUUAGUGGUGCUUUCACGUCUACUCAACUCUAGUACUCCCUCUGUUCCGAAUUACUUGUCUCGGAUAUGGAUGUAUCUAGAACAAACAUACAUCUAGAUACAUCCAUUUCUACGACAAGUAAUUCCGAACGGAGGGAGUAGAUACAAGUGACCAUAAUUUUGUUUGGGUAAAAGGAACUAGCCUUUAGUUGACGGUGCAGCUCCAGGCCUGUCCCGUAGCCUAUCCGAGCCUGUGGCAUUGAAGCUGCUGGCCGUUGAUUGAGCUGAAAAACAAGAGGUUUAGAUUCGACAAGGUAGACCUGCAAUUUUAUUCAUAGGAAAAUGAAUAACUACGUGUAUUUCAUAGAAACACAUAACGGUUAUGUUUAUGUAGAUUCGCUUUGCGCUAUCAUAUUGUCGAUGUUACGUUGCGGCGCGCUGUGUAUGACCAUCUUGGAAGGAACUUUAGAUGUAAAAUACUGAGAGCCUCAAGCACUAAAGUAUGAGAUGCUUUCUGCUUGAAAACUACAGCAUGUAGGAAGAGAAGCUCCCGCUGAAUUAUGGCUGUAGAAGUACCUGAUAAGACGCUAUUAGUCUUGGAACCAUCAAAAGUUCUCCUGCUGGAAUUUACACCGUCACCAGCACCGGAUUCUUCUUGUUCAUCCUCUCCAUCAGAAACCACAGAUGGGCUGGCCAAACCAUUAGUGUUGUUGUCUCCUUUGUUUUUCCGAGCAAAUUUAAGAAGUCUCUUGAAUCCUUUUGGAGAAUCUUUAUGAAAAACUAUUGCGGGUGGGUUUUCAGCAUUUCCCCACUCGAUUAUUUCUGGUUCGUUGCUAUCUGCUUGCAACAUUUGUGACAACGAAUGACGGAUUCUUGGGCUUGAUGACGGCAAUGGUUCAAUUGCUGGCGAGGUGACAUCCUCGCCUGUCACGCUUUCACCCACAUCAGUAACUUCUUGAUGAUCCACUUCAACCCAGGCAGCUGAUGAGAUGUCCAUGUCCUCGUCAAGAGGUUUGACCUCAACGACAGAGGGCUCAACCUGGUCACUGGGGCCCAUUUCGGCUGCGCUUAAACUCGAGCCCGGGUUUUCUGUUUUUUCAACAUGUAAGUCAUUAUCGAUCGAAAUUUCUAAAUUUUCAUCAACAUCAUGUGCUGGUUGAGCAAGAUCAGCCUCUGGUACCUUGGUAGUUGGCUCGGUUGUCACAGGAGAUUGCUCCUUAUCUUCCGCACGGGUAACAAUUCCACUGCCCUUUGAAGAAUCACCAAGCUGCGGCACUUUACUCUUAACAGCACCAGAACCAACACCUUGACUAAUCCCAGUGGCUUUCUUCACGGGUUUGGGUUCUACUGGUACAACACUGCUUUUCUUUGGGACCUUGUUAUACAUGCCUGACUUUGUCAUUGCACUUGAUUUUUCUUCUGAUGCAGGUGAACUUUUUGCCACUCUGCUCGGCUUUGUUGCUGUCCUUGUCUUCUUAUCUUCCUGCCCCUUAAUGGCUGGCUUUGUCGCAGUCACAGGUUCCUUCUUGUUCUUCACUGCUGGAAGGGGUUUCUCCACCUUUGAAAUCGGCUGAGGUGCCAAGGAUGCUGUCGCGGUCCUUCUCCGGCUAGUUGGUGUCGAUGUUGAAACUGCUCCAGGAGAGUUUUUAGUUUUCUGUGCAGUACUACUAGUUGCUUUAGUCAAAGAUCCUGACCAUGAACUACGGGUAGCUGGUGCAGGUGAUGGUUUGGGGGAACUUUUUUUUGCUGGUGUCUUUGAGAUCACUUCCUUUGGCAAGACUGGAGGUGAUGAAUUUCUCCUUGCCCUUUGUGGAAUAGGUGAGUUGCGCUUCUCUGUUAUGAUGCUAGUCUUGGGGGUAACUGCUGCUCUGUUCUGCCCAACGGAUUCCUUCAAGAGCUUGGUGCUCGUCUCCUUUGCUGGUCGCUUUACACCUUUCUCUGUUCGAACCUUCGUGUCUCGCUUCUCUCUUUGAAGUCCGCCUUUCUUCUCACUUGCAGAAAUGAGCCCGGUAGCAGUUACAUUGGCGCCUGCAAACUUCCCAGGCAUGACCUCCAUCAUUUUCAUUAACAUCUGAUUAAGUUCGGCUUCCUUCUGGCGAUUCCACUCAGCAGAGGCCAUUGCCCUAUCACUGUUUGACUCCUGCCCAGAAUGUGUUUGUUCAGCAGAAAUGUUACUGUGGGAUGAGACCACAUUUUCCAUGUCCGACACUGUGAUGCCAUGGCCAUCAGCAUCGUAACUUCCUGCCUCAGGUGCAACUACACUGUUUGGCGCUGCAUCUGUCUCAGCCUGUAAUUCAGCUUCAUUCUUCUCUGCAUCAGAUGCCAUAUUGUUAGAUUUGCUUUGAGAGGUAGAAUCUGAGGUCUUUUCUCCCGAUGUAUUGCUGUUCAAAGAGUCACCCAUUCCUGAACUCCACCGACGCAGUACAGAUUUGGUCGCGACCAAGCCGGCUUUCUUACUUUCAGAAUCCAGAUUCUCACCCUUCUGCUUCUUCUCGAAAAGGCUAAUCGCAUCUUGCACGCUCAUUCUUCUUACAUUAUUGUCGGAUCUCCUUGGUGGCUGGUCUGUUUCACCAUUGCAGCUGCUUUCAUCAUCUUUAUCCAAAGCAACUCUCUGGCUAGGAGGGAAGUAACUUAGGCUCUUGAUGGCAAUUGGCGUUGACCUACGAGAUCCUGAUCUCCCAAUUUGAACCCUUCGCAUUGGAGAAGCAGACCUCCUAGGAGAAGCAGAUCUCAUAAGGGGGCGGCUUCUUUCAACAACAGCUUCAUCUUCAUCGGUGGACUCAGAGGAAUCGUCGCUUUCCAUUGACAUUUUACGUUCAACUUGUGCAAGCUUUGCUGGGGAAACAUUACUGGUGAUAGGCCUUUGGAUAUUGGUUUGGGAACUGAUAUCACGAGUCUCAAGUGCAUCAUCCUUUCUCUCAGCAGUAGAAGCUUGGUGUGGGGGUAGCACAGAGGGCUGGCAAUCCCGGAUCAACAGUAGGCACCUCACCAACCAACUAAAGCAAAACGAUAAAUGAUGACAAUUAGCUUCUUGUAUCACACAAAAAAAAGUACAAUGGAAUGACCUUGUAGAAAUGAUCUAAUUGUGUGNNNNNNNNNNNNNNNNNNNNNNNNNNNNNNNNNNNNNNNNNNNNNNNNNNNNNNNNNNNNNNNNNNNNNNNNNNNNNNNNNNNNNNNNNNNNNNNNNNNNNNNNNNNNNNNNNNNNNNNNNNNNNNNNNNNNNNNNNNNNNNNNNNNNNNNNNNNNNNNNNNNNNNNNNNNNNNNNNNNNNNNNNNNNNNNNNNNNNNNNNNNNNNNNNNNNNNNNNNNNNNNNNNNNNNNNNNNNNNNNNNNNNNNNNNNNNNNNNNNNNNNNNNNNNNNNNNNNNNNNNNNNNNNNNNNNNNNNNNNNNNNNNNNNNNNNNNNNNNNNNNNNNNNNNNNNNNNNNNNNNNNNNNGAGGAUAAGUUUGUAGUGAUUUUUGCAGCAUACCUAAACUCUGAUGUCCCAAAAUGCUGAACAAAACCAGACAAAUCUGAUACUUCUUUAUUCAACAACUUAGAGCCAACUGCUCGACUCAAUAAUACCAAGAUUUCUUCUUUCAGUGCUGAUAGCCUCAAAUCCAGUGCUCGAAGUAACUCAUUCCUUCAACAUUUAGUUAUAGAAAAUGUCAACUAAUAGAUGGGAAAAAAUAGUGACAGAAAAAGGAAAAAGAAAAGGCUUUACUUUGUAGCCACUGAGGAGUUUGGGCCAAUAUUUCCCUGAAAGUAAUUUUGAGAACUAAAAUGUGAGCAAACAAAACAUAAAAAUGCACAAAAACAUAAAGCCAUCAGAAGUUUUGCACAAAUGGAAAUUACCUGCUGUGGUUUGCCAACGGUGCUGGAGAGACCACCUGCAAAUUAGAAUAUCAUCAUAAACUGAGCACUCUACCAACAUUAGCCAGAAUAAGACAUUCUGUAAAGAAAUCCCUUGCCAUCCAUAGAAAUUGCUUGUACUAAGUCAAAACUAAAAACAGUUACCUAUAGGUUUUAGUGCUCAAUUUUUUUAAUAGAGUGUUUUCAUUUGCAUUGACGCGCAUGCAGAAAUGUGAAGUGUGAACAUUUUCAACAAACCCAAAGAUAAUAUUUUAGAGCAUCAAAACAUUUUAUGUCAGACCAAAUGCCUCGGGUUCCGAUUUUUUAAGUCAAAAGAAGGGUUGAACUUAUCCAAUUAGAGAAAAUAGUGUCUGCCAAAAUGCAUUUGCCUAUAUAAAUCACGUGUGAGUGCAAGACAGCAAUUUUUAUUAUGUUUUCAUGUCUUUGACAGAUAGAUAAUUUCUAGAAUUUGCAGCAGGCAGCUAAUUUCUUCUAGUGAUAGGCAAAGAAUCAUGGGUACGAUAGUAGGAUUCGUUAUCUAUGGACACAAGCAAACAAAAUGGAUGGACCAAGGAAAAUAUGUCAAUGGCCUCAAUGCACCAACAAAGUCUUAAAGAUAUCAAAACACAAUGCACCAACAAAGUCACCAACUAAAUAGUCAAGGAACCAACUAAAGUCACCAAUGAAGUACUGUGAUUCAUCAACCAUUUGAGUGUUAUGCUUGAUAAAAAAUGUGAUUUCAACCAGGGAAUGAGUAACAGGCUCUAAGAGUAGAACUAAACUGUUAUUAAGUCCAUCACUCAUAGCACUAAAAUGGUAAAGUGAAUCCAAAAUUUGAUUAGAUAGGCUUCAUAAAAAGGAGACAAAAGCCAUAUUGCAUACAGCCAUACAUGCUGAAAGGUUGUGAUGGCUUUCGAGUACAAAGAACAAUGGAAGAAGCAAGACUUUCUUUGAAUGUACCUGUCAAAGCACCACCCAUAAGAUUUUGUUGUUCCUGCAUAAAAAAUGGAUUUUGUUAUUUACGGCGUCUGCUGUUUUUCUAGAUAAGAACUGAACUUAAAUGUGCAAGCAAACUUAGCACAGAAAAUUUGUUUUACUUCUUUUGGGACAAAAUUAUGAUACCUUGGACUGUAGAUAAUCAUGAAACUUUCUAGUUUCCUCCAGCUGAGACAUUUCCUGUAAAAUUCCAUUCGCCGUUUUGGAUGCAUCAGGCGAAUUUAUGAUAUGUAGAAAUCUGGUAGGGAUGUUCAAUUUAGUUACGAUUACAACUAUAAAAAACACAAGUAACUAGAAAAAGGUUAAGGUGAAAGACCUCUCUAAGGUGGAUUUUGUGAACCAGGUAGAGCCUUUUGCAUCCCCAGCCAAUAACAGCUUAAAAGAGCCACUUGAUGAACGUGAUUGGAAAUUUUUGGCAUCUUCCAAGUGCAGGACUAGUUGGUCGAAAGGACCAGAUGCUACUGGUUCGGCACUCUCUCCAUUACAAGCAAUUGCCUCAUACCUGAUGAAGGAAAGGUUUCACAAUACUGGGCGGGUCAGAAUUUAUAUCAGAGAUUGUGAAUCAUAAAAGACUCAAUAUGGCAUAUCCAUGAAACAGUUUUCAGCCAAAUGCAGCGACGAAAAUCUGAAGCACACUUCAUAAGCUCAAUCACGGUGAACAGAGUGCUUCACCUGUUCUUGGUCAAUGACACUUGGAACACUGCAGAAUCAAGCUCCACGUCGCCAGCAACUCUCCCCUCCAUUUUGCCCACAACUACAAGCACAGCAACCCUCUAUAGAUCGUAUCUGCUCCUUGUCCACUUCAAAUACCUGUCAACGGGAAUAUCAGCAGAAACGUCACCAACCUUGCAAAAGGAAACAGAUAACAAAGAAGAGAGAUAAUGCUACUGCCAAGGUCAGAAACGCUAAUAUGUCAACAUCUAUAAUAAUAAGUGAUUAAAUGUUCCAUGCCCAAAUAUGCAGGUUACUUUUCAGCAUGAGGGUACCAACCAAGCAUAGAGCAAACUGAUUGUGCAUGUAUCACCGAACCAACUCCACACCUAAGUCAUUCAUUCCGCUCGAUUAUGUUCCCACAGCACAGACAAACUUAUAGGCUUCUAUAGCGGUAAAAUAGCAUGUGGUACGAGUGUAGUAUGCCUCAAUUUCCUUAGUUAACGCAAUCAGAUUCAUAGAUCAGAGAAGCAGAAAAGCAGAUACAAUUCAAACCCAAAAGACAAAAUUCUAGUACCAUCAGUGCAGAUCCUUCAUCAUCAGAGCUACCAAACUAAGCACUGGACGCAUUGAAUCCGAAAUGGAGGGUUUCUAAGCGAUCGAAAGUUUGGAGCCCGCGGGGGCUCCCGGAUCCAAAACCCCAAAAUCCCUCGCAGACAAAAAUCCAAAGCCCUAGAGAUCCAGGCAGGCCAACUCCACUGAUUCCUGGCUCCUAUGGCUCGCCAAAAAACAGAACGGAAGAAGGCGGAUCCAGAUUCUGGAGGCGACAACGCCCGCUCACCGACCCACUGCCUCAAGCUUCGAGCUCAAGCAAGCCACCCCCACCCAGGUCCGAGGAGACCGCAGCAAAAACACCCGAGAAAACUAAGGCAGGGCAGACGAAUGCCUCACCAGAUCAAGCGGCGGCGGCCUCCGCCUCCCGCAUUCGAUCCGGCGCCGCGCCGACUGGAUCGAGGGCUCGGAAGUGAUGGAGAAUUUUUGUUCCGUGAGUCGCUCCUUUUUUCGCUGGGGGCAGUUGCAGUUGCAGCAGCGAGUGGGGGAAUGGACGCCAGGAGAAGGCACAACUGCGGAAUGCGGGGUUUAAAUGACUGAGGGCCAGUUGAGGAACUGACACUGGGUAUUGCACUUAUUUACUGUCCCGCCACUGGCCUGGUGUUUUGUGUACCCGUGGAGUGCGCUUGCGGUUUCAAAAGGAGGCCGUCGGUCGGUGGGACGCGUCGGGAGAAUUUACCAUAACGCCCUUCCGGGGAAUUAUAGGUAGGAAACGUACUCCGCUUUUGCGCGCGCUGAUUUCUUUUUUGUUUAAGAAAUCUGAUUGACAAUUCCGACGAAAUAUUGAAAUGAAUAGUAACAAUAAUACAGUAUUGGGGAUUGCAUCAUUCAAAUUUAAAGCACAUGCGAUGGAGAAUAUCCGGCAAGGAGAAUGUUGAGUAAUUAGCAUUAUUCUGUGUAGAAUGACUAAACUUAGGUUGGCAUAGUGGUGAGUAACUUGGACUAAUGGCAUGUAUAUAUUACUAGUCUAUGUUACUAUUUUUAUAGUAGGUAGUAACAUAUGGAUGAUAACAUGUAAGUCUUUCUUAAUUGAGAUAUAGACUCAUUUUACCUCGGGGUGUGUUAUGUUACAGUAACAUAUUAUAUUACCACAAGCAUCUCUUUUCUCAUUAUUAACUCCAUGCCACAUAAGCAAUUUUUUCUUGGGGUGUGCUAUGUUACUACUACCUCCGUUUCAGUUUACAAGUCCUACGCGUAUACCUAGAUUGUCAAUUUUAUCACCUUAAUAUAAACUACAUAACACAAAAAUUAUACGGUUUGAAAAUAAAACAUCUGAAGUUUAUAUUGAUAUACUUUUUAUAAUAUAUGACGUGUAUUAGGUUGGUCAAAUUGACGACCUAGGGGCACGCACACGCCCUGUAAACUGAGAGAGAGGUAGUACUUAAGUUACGCCCACUAUGGCUAGCCUUAAGCAGCAAUUAGAUUCAUACUCCCUCUUUUCCGGUUUAUAGAUCUUAUCUCAAAAUUUUAGUUUUUUCAUUUUAUAAGGCUCAAUUUGGUUGUUCCCCGUCACAUGUUCAAAUUCCAAAAUAUAUUAAAUCAUUACAUGCAAGUAUUAAAAGAAAAUUGACCAAUACAUAUACUUUAUGCAUGCAUGUAUUGCAAUUAAUACAUUGGUAAACAUAAUUUUUUGAGAAAAACAAAAGCAUUAAUUGUGUGUUUUGCAAACUACAAAAAGUAUUCCACCACUCACCAUCUACCUUGAUUGGUGAGAUUUUUGAAUUAAGCUCUGUAAACCAAAAAGGAAUGAGUAGUUCAUAGUACAGAACCUUGAACUUGUAGGUAAAUUAUGUGUUCAACAAAUUCAAACACCAAACUCUAAAACCCCAGUAAUUGCAGGUCAAUUGGUGGAAAAAUUAUCUGCACAUCGAUUUGAUCGUGAUUUUAUGGUCAAAGCCACAAGGACACCCAAAACCCACCGUUUGCGUUUGUGAUAGCAUCGUAUUGAAGGAGCAGCCGAAAGAUGCGUGUGGUUUGUGCGUAUACUACUACAUCGUAUAUGUACAUGGAUGUUUAUGUUGGCGUAAUGGACAUUAUCUAUACUACUAUUAAACAAGCAAACAUAUUCAUUGCUAAGUGCACCUAGCCUAAGCUACACAAAACAUCAUGGACCAAUUACAACCUCAUGAUCAGAUUACUUAAUUAGAUCUAACCAUUAAGAUUAGACUAACCCUCAGGCAAAACUGCGCUUAGCAAUUUUCCUCGGCGGACGAAAACUCUACCGUCCCACCUCUGCAAGCCCUACGAUCACGCAAGCCAUAAAAACAGGAAACUGAUCGCAAUCAAAUCGCCUCAAAACAACUACCCCGCGACGCAUGCCACCUGCCUCUGCCCGCCGGAUGCUCCUACUCCCUCGAGGGUCGCCGCCUGACCCUCCUCCCCCGCCACCGUCGAUGCUUGCCUUGCCUCUCUUUCCCUUGUCGCCAUUGAUCUGUGUUGGCCUCCGCCCCCGCCACCGCUGGCCGGCCUCUCCUUACGCACAGGUCACCACCCACCGCUCCUUCGUUUGGCCGCCGACCGAUGCAAGUGGCUGUACACCGCCACUGGCCUAUCCUUGCGCGCAGGUCGCACACUCAGGAAGAACGCGAUGAAGGAGUAGGUGAAGGACAUGAUAACGGCGAUGAUGGAGACAAAGGUGGCCGAUCUCCAGGCCCGGGAACUAUGAGAGGACGAGCUCGACAAGGCGGAACAUCACCAGGUACAUCGCCCCAUCCUGCUGCAGUUCGCGUCGUGGCCCUUUUAAUGGCGGCAGUUGCUGGGCAC
rnacentral:lncRNA from 1 species